AUCUGUUGUGUCUGUUGAUCUUGAUGAUGGGAAGACGAAGAACUUGGAACUUGGAAAGCAAGGAAUACGUUUAGUAUCUCCGAAGCAAGACUGUUGACUGCUAUUAAAAUUGGUUAUUAGAUGCAGCGUAUGUUGCGACUUUGGAUGACAAGAGCAUGAGCAACUGCUGAUUCCCAGAGUUGUUCCUCAAGGUUACUGCACCCUGCAUUGUGUGUUUUCUGCAACUUAUCUGACCUUUGGUUUCCGGAUUUCCAUGUAAGGCAUUGGUUUGGUUCUGUUUUAUUGUCACCUUUCGUUUCCCAGUUUAUAGAUUCUCUUUUCUGGUCAGAGGUUGAACACAGUUUUUGAGCCUUUUGGUGGCACUUUAAAUUAAUCUUGUUGGGUUUACCGUUUCAAUGUAAAAUUUCUAGAGAUUAGAAAGUUCUGCUGUUACUGGUAUUAACUCAGAGUAGAUGUCGUUGUUAUACUAUAAUAUAUAUAUUAUAGCCAGCUGAGCUCUUUUCAAUAUGAAUCGACAGAAAUCACCAUGAUACUACGGUAAAUUCCAUUAGAUAUAAUCAGCUUGAGGACUUUGGCAACAGAUCAUUUGAGGCUCUUGGGACAAUUUGUGUCUAUGGUAUGGGCCCAUGAGGGUACUUGUAAGAGUAGUUUUCACAACAGAGGCACUUUAAUCCCUAGUUACCAAACAUAGUGAUAGUUUGGCUAAUUAUUAGUAACAAGAUUUGUGUUGUGUCAUUGAUGCUAUUUUUUAAAAUUCAUGUUGUAUCAAUAUACAACAUGCUGAAAUUAGUAGUAUAUCUGUGAUAGAACAACUCACGUUGUAUCACUGUAUUAGUUUAUUAGUGUCCCGCGAUCGUAAAUUCAAACUAGAAGGAUUUUUAGAUACAAUCCCAGAAACAUGACGAAUUAGUAUCGUUAUUUUUAUGUGUGUAUGUUAGUACUAGCUAUUUUGCAAGGUUUGAAAACAAGGCUUUCUCUUCCGCAUAAGUUUAUAUUUUCAUAUGAUAAUAUUACAUAAGUUAUAUUGUGGUCGUUCUUUUUCCAUUAUUGAUGGUGAAGGAUAUUAUUAGUGUAUUAGAGCUCUCUUCCUUCAUUUAUGACAAUGACCACGAUUAAGGUCAUAAUAACAAUUGGGAACACAACGUUUUCUAGAUGGAAGUUUGUCUUCUCUAGAAAAAGAACUAUUAACUAGUAGGUCAAUUUUCGUCCUUUUUUUUCUAUCAUAUUUAUUAGAGGAAAUACAUAAUUACCCCAUUGAACUUGGACCUUAUUUUGAAGUAGACACUUAAAGUUUGCGAAAGUCCUAUUACCCCAUUAAACUAUUUUCGAUCAGACUAAAUAUAGCAUUUUGAUCCGCUUCCGCAUCUGCUAUGUUUUCACGUUUUCGGGGCGCGUGAGUAUUUUAAAAAACAACCCCAAACCAAUAUAAAGCAGCCAUGUGGCAUUGUAAAUUGAAUUCUUUAUUUAUUUUUUUAAAACCCAUCUUCCCCAAAAUUAAUUCAAACACCAUUGACAGCCAUUGAAGCUUGCUACAGUGUCAUGGCGAGUAAGGACUGCAAUAUCUCUCUAACUUUGAAUCAAUUUCGCAAGAUGAGUACUGCAUUAAUUCAUCAACAACCUUCGAAUUUCUGACUUUUCAAUAAAACCCAUUUUCAAAAUAUAUGAAUCACUACAAAAUUCACUUACAAUGUAAAAUAAAUAAAAAAUUCAAAGAUUUUUCAAAUAACUAAUCUAUGAGCCUUCACUUCUUCGUUCCGACACCACGAUUCAACAAAUUUCAACCAGCAAUGUUACCAACUAGCUUCGCCUCAUGAAGUUUCUUAGGGUUUUGAUCGGUCGAAGAGAGAGACGAGGGUAGGUGAAAGUGAAAUGGGUUGGAAGUUUCUUAGGAUUUGGGUUAUGGGUUAAAAAAUGAAUGGGUUAGGAUAAAACCCGGCACUUGUUAAAUGGGUUGGAGGUGUGGCACACGCUCUUGGAUUGUGAGCACUGAUGGUGAAGAAAUGAUUUAUUUAUUGUGCUUUUGGAUGGUUUCGUGGGGUAAUAGGACCCCCACAAACUUAAGGUGUCUACUUAAAAAAAAGAUAUAAGUUCCAUGGGAUAAUUAUGUAUUUCCUCUAUUUAUAAAUCAUCAUAUUUUAUCUGGCCACAAAAAAAAAUGAAAUUAGUGUAAAAAAUUAUUUGAACCACAUCUCUCGAUAUUAUUGCAAAAGCGCAUUCCUGGCAUGAAGUGUGGUAAAGAUUUUUUUUUUCUAGCAUAUCAUUGUUAGUGAUAUUCUCACCAUAAAUUUCAACUGUGAAAUAAAUUUAAACAAUGAAAAACUAUACUUAUAAAUAGAUUUUUAAAAUGCAGCUUUAAAUAGAUCCAGUUUAAAAGUGCUUAUGCAAGAAUGACCAUCUUCUUCUGAUCAUAUCAUCUUUUAGAUUAUUUAACAAUAUAAAGAAAAUUUUAACAAUGAAAUAUUUCAUUUUCAAGUCCCAAUUAAGAUGAUGGCAAAGAAACAUGUUUGCUUUGACAUUAUCGUAUUUUGAUACCUGAUUAUUAUUUUUGAUGGUGUCUGCAAGAUCAUCCCAGUAAAAUGAAUUUUAGUAUCAAAUAUAUCCAAAACAAUAAAUUUACAUUUCGAAAAAGUUAUCAUUAGUUAAGAAAAACAAAAUAGAUACCUUCAAAGUUUUGUAAGAAUUUGCUUGAUAUGAUAUAGUCUCAUUUUGAUAAUGUGUUGUAUAAUAUAGAUCAUUAAAUAAAUACAUUAUAUUAUACAUAUAUAUUAUAUAUCAUAUAUCAUAUAUCAUAUAUCAUAUCAUAUAUAUAUAUAUAAAUAUAACAGAGAACUUUCGACCCGCCUACGUGGCGCUAUCACAAAUAAGAAUUCUCUUUUAAUUUAUUUAUUUACAAAACUAGCCUUCUCCUUUCAUGAAAAGUUGUGAAAUUUAUGAAAAAUUACAACUUUAAUGAAGAGUUGCGGCUUUUAUGAAAAGUUGUGAUUUUAAUGAAGAGUUGUGACCUUUCCGAAGGGUUGCAACUUUUCCAAAUAGUUAUAACCUUUAAGAUAAAACACAAUAAAUAUUUGUUCACACUACCUUUUGUUGUCUAUAAAUAGAGGAAUUUUCUCUCAUUUUAAAACAACAAAAAUUCUGAACCUCUUUUUCUUCUUCACAAUUAAAUAUUUGUGCACUUUGCUCCUGCAGAUCCUGGUAUGUAUUUUUACGGUCAUUAAUUUUUACUUAUGUUAUUAAGGAUAAAUGAUAAGAUGUAAUAAUUUUUAUUUUUCUUUACAUUAUUAAUGUUUGUUACUACGUAAUCUUGUAUGUAAGAUAAUAUAGUGUUUUAGUUUUAAUGACUGAUAGGUUUUAAGUAUUAUUUUAUAAAUUUCAUGAUAUUAAAUUUCCACGCAAAGUGCGGGUAAUUUUACUAGUUAUAUAUAUAUAUAUAGAGAGAGACUAAUAUAUUGUUCAAUUUCAAAUUAACCUACUAAUAAAUUGAAUUAACUUUGAAAAAUAGAUUUGCAAGCGUAGAACCUUAUUUAACAUUACCAUUAGUGUUUUUUAACCGAGAGAGGAAAAAAGAGGGAGAAAGAUUUGCAAGCCUAGAACCUUAUUUAACAUUACCAUUGUAGCUACGGUUUUGUCUUCUCCAACUGCAAACUGGAUUCGCCUCAGAAGUAGCUGCAGCAUCAUUUCUCUGCUUCCAUGUAAAACCCUAAACCCUAAGCUUCUUAGUUUUUCUUGUUUCGUUCUUGAAUUCCCUAAUUUCUGUUUGUUCUGGUCCUUUUUCAAAAAAAAAUUAGUUGAGCCAGUAUAUCAAUUUUCCAGUUCCUGGCAGUUCAUCCUUAAUCUAAUGAUCCAAGUAUUGCUUUUGGCUUAUAUUGAACUAGGUGGAUUUAUGUCUUCAUUUAUUCAGUAAAUUAUCUAUUUGUGUAAAUGUUUCAAAAUGCCUGUGUUGUAUAAUAUCAUGUCCUCUUGUGUAAUGCCUAUUUCAAAAUGCCUGUGUGGAAAGUUUCAUAAAGAGCAGCCCACGCUGGACUUAAGAGGGAAGAAGAAAUCUACGGGAAGUUCAAGCAAGACACUCCUCCUUGGUUCAGGUGUGUGCAUACAGAAGUCUAAUUUUCUCUCUUUACAAAGUUAAUAUGCUCCCUAAUAUUUCUUUACUUAAUAGAAUAAUAAAAAGAGCCCCUAAUAUUUGUAAGCCUUUGUAUUUAAACAGUGUUGCCCUCUUGAUGGAAUGGACCGAUAACCAUUACAGAACUUUGGCCUGUUUUAUCUCAGAAAAAGGUGUGGCUCUACACAGAAAUGCUUGCUGCCGAAACAAUUGUCUACCAGACUGGCAAUUUGGUAAAGUUCUGCUGCAUGGAAUAAGACUCUAAUGCUUCUCUACCCAACCAUAAAGUACCUUUUUGUUUCUCACUGAUGAGUAGAGCCAAGCUAAAAGAAGAGAAUCGUACGAGUUAAUCCUUUCUUCAUAUUCUAAACAAAAAGAAAUGAGAAAGAGAUGAACAUAUAUGUGCUAUGUAGUAUGUAAAGGCUCACAAUUACAGAGGAUUCAAACUCGUCUACGAUAAUUUAACUCAAAUGUACCGGUUAAAAUUUUCACUUAAUGUGCAUAAAUCAAAAUAUCCUAUUAUUUUGCCCAUUUGUUUUAAGUCACGAGACAGUGAAAUAGUCAAAAGUUACUUUCUUUAAUCUUGAUCCUCUUGCUGCCAGCCCCAAUUUUCAUGAUAAAAGGAAAUAGUUGGUGUAUGUCUCUGUGGUUAUAUGCCUACUUUCUAAAUGAUGUGAACUGACCUUCUACAAAGUGAAGCUUACAGUUAACACUUCUAUAGAUGGCACCUGACACUUGUAUUUGAUUUACUAAAUCAAUGAAUCCUACUGUUUUUAUAUCAAUUACUAUAGAAUCUUUGGGUUGUCUUUCAAGGGCCGAGUUAGCCAAAUUGGUUGGUCAUUUUCAUUUCCCUAAACUAAGAUCCUUGUCCCAGUUAGAUGGUUUCCUAAAAAAGGAAUAUUUAUUUCUUUGUUGUGAAAUACGUGGCAAAGAAGGGACCUAGAUGAUAUAUUAUUGUAACCUGGUAGAUCUUCAAAAGGAACUUUCUUGUACUGAUAUGUUAUUGCGCUUGCAGCUUGGACCUUUAAGAGCAGCUUGUCACUGGCUAAUGCUUAUGUGUUUCUAUCGUGCAGUGAAAUCUGACAUUUAUGUGAUUUUUCUAAUAUACCAGGAUAGAUUCUUGGCAUAUGGCCCUGAGCAGCAUCCUAUAGUGCUGCAAAUUGGGGGAAAUAAUUUGAAGAAUUUGGCCAAAGCGACACAACUGGCAACUCCAUAUGGCUAUGAUGAAAUUAAUUUUAAGUUCGUUCUGCUUUUCCUAUCUAAAAUAUAAGUUUCUAGCUUUUAUUUAGACCCAUAACUGAUACUUUUUCUGUUUUAUUUAACAGUUGCGGAUGUCUUAACCCCAGAGUCGCUGGACAUGGGUGUUUUGGUGUGCGCCUCAUGCUUGAUCUGUAGGUUAAGAUUUCCUUGCUUGAUACAUCAAAUAUAUUAUUUAUCUGUAUGGUUGCUAGGACAUGUGCACAACUUCUACAAGGAAAGUUUUAUGCUGCGUCCAUGUGCAUAAUUGCUGCAAAUACAAAUCUUCCUGUGAGUGUCAAAUGCAGAAUUGGACUUGAUGACCAUGACUCAUACAAUGAACUAUGUAAGCUCUUCAAACUUUCCCUUCCUCACAGGAAAUGAGAAUCAAAAUUCAAUUCUUCAAUGAUCAAUAUUUUGAUUUGGGCCUUCUUUCUCUUGUCUUGUGGGUUACAACUCCUAAUUUUUGUCCCGGCCUUGCUUCAAAAAAAUCAUCAAAAUUGAGCUCCUUUAGUUUCUGUAUAAUAUAUUUCCAAGCAGGUCUUUGCCGACCUUGUAAUUGCUUGGACUUUCAAGUAGAUCUUAGAGAGCUGACAAUAACUUGUAACUAUGAACUAGAAGCAUAUUGCAUGACCACUUAACUCGGAGCAGAAGCCAUGUCCCCCAAAACCCAUAAUUGGUGGGAACUUGAAAAUAUUUAAAAAUCAGAUUUUCUAAAUCUGAUCAAAUUUUAUGGUCAAAUAAAUUUUGAAAAUCUACUCUCAGUGACCAUAAGUAUUUUUCUGAAAGUUUUUCUUCUUUUCUUUUUAAAACCUUUUCCUUUUUUUCCUUUUUUGACUUUUUGCCACUACUAUACAAACAAUCAUGGAUUCUAUUAACAUUAUGAAAACUUCAAUGGGCCAAAUGUGAAUUUUGCUUCACCUUAUAAACAAACUUGUGUAUACACCUCAGAAGUCACGCCCAUCCCCUUUUCUCUCUCUCUCUCUCUCUCUCUUUUUCCCCCAAAUGAGCUUUUCCCCAAUUUAAGCUCUUGAAGAAUUCCUCAUACACAAAAAAAUUUAUCUCGCGUAUGGCCUUUCACACAGCAUGCCCAUUUACCUGGUACUACAUUCUUUUAUUUUUGUAAAAUUUGUUUAUAAUUUUGUUUAUUUAUCUCUUUUAUUAUCACUCUUUCUCUCUACUCUCUCUUAUCUAGGCCAAGCCGCCAAGGAUCCAAAUGGGGUUCUUUGUUUUAUGGUUUUAAGUUGUUUACUGGGGUUUAUAUGACCCAUUGAACGUUUUUAGAUGUGGGUUUUGGAGUUUUUGUGGUGUAGCUGGAGGAUCUGCUAUCUAUCUCUAUCUUUAUCGAUGGAUGUGAAAUCGGGUUCUUGGUUUUGUGUUUUGUUGUUUUCUUUUGAAUUUCUGAUCCAAUUGAGUGUUUUGGCAUUUUUUGGUGCAGUCGAAAGAUCUGCUUCUGCCCAGAUGGGUUUCCAAAGGGUAAAAAUGAGUUCUUCAGCGAUGUGACUAAACUUGAGGAGUUUCUCAAGGACCCAUGGGGUCUUAAGGCCAAACAACCUGCCACAAUUCAGGUUAAAGUGCCCAAGCUUAAUGUUGCUCUGCCCCCACAAGCGCCUGUAGGUGAUGGGGGUGGCGGAAGCAGCGGGGAUGGUGAGGAGGCGGCUGCUAUUGGUUCAGCUAAGACUAAGCGUGUUGCUUUGCAGAAGAAAACUGCUGCAGCAUCUAUGGUGGCUGAUGAUUUUGCUAGACAAUUUGAGUCUGGAGAUGUGGAGGUUAGGAACCGCAGUUCUAAAAAACGUAGGUUUGCAUGACUUUGUAUGUGGAAUGUGAAAAUUAUGAUUGUUUAAUCAAUCGACUUCUCUGUUGUCCUAUUUAACGUAGUCAGGAUAAUGACAUAGAUGGUCGCUGAGAUGAUCUGUUUUCAGAUCACUUGUCUGUUUAUAUUUCGUGUGGAUUGUAUGCCAUGACUAUUGUGUUUCUUUUUAUUUGAAUGCUGGCUUCUUCUGUUGAGGGAGAAAAGAGUUUAUGUGGUCCACAAAAAGGUAUAGACAUUCUGCUUUGUAUGAAUAGUUUCAGGGUACUUGAUAAGUUAACUCCAUAUUUACAUUUUAAACUUUUAAGUGUUUGUAUAGUAUUCCACUAUAGGAGAAAAAAAGAUACACAAAUGAUUUAGCCUGUUCUGAUGUUUUCUCUCAAAAGAGAAUGAAUUUUCAUGGUGCUUCCUAUAGGAUUGAGAAAUUUAUGAGUUAUUCAGUAGUACAACUCUUCAUGAAGCUUGCCUCACUCAAGACAACCUUAAGAAAAUGAAUUUUCAGACAUGAAACAUCUAUUGGCAAUCUGAAAAUUCCUUUUCUUAAGGUUGUCUUGAGUGAGGCAAGCUUCAUGAAGAGUUGUACUACUGAAUAACUCAUAAAUUUCUCAAUCCUAUAGGAAGCACCAUGAAAAUUCAUUCUCUUUUGAGAGAAAACAUCAGAACAGGCUAAAUCAUUUGUGUAUCUUUUUUUCUGAUCUUUUUUAGGAGCUUAGUCUUCCAUAUCAACUUCCUUGGCCAGUUAUCAAGCACUUCAUUAGGAGCAUAUGAGUUGCAUAGCCUGCUUUCACCGAGUAUAUACUACCUUGUCACUGCCCCACCCUAACUUGUCUGCUUCCCUGGCAUUUAUCACCUGGCCUUCUAGCCUAAAAAACAACUUGACCACUUCUUCGAUUUCCCGGUCUUGUAGGUUCCUUCUGAAUAGAACAUUCCAGGUGUUGUCUUCCCUAUUCUGAGAGAUGGAAGAAUUUGGUUCACAUGCUAUUUGAAAUAGACUUGGGAAUUCCUCCAUCAUUGUCCAGCUACCUAUCCUUCCAAAAUCUGAUAUGUAUACCAUGACCUAUUCUGCAUCUUCUUGAGGCCAACAUUGAAAUUUCUUAUUACUUAUAAAAAAAAAUGCCUAGAAUGUACACACCCUUAAUUCAGGUAAUAGAUCAUCUUUGAAAAUUCCUUUUCCUUGAGAGAGACGAAAACGUUUAGUGAAGGCUGUUAGUUAAAUGCAUUUUAGUCACACGCUUCAAUCUCUACUUUUUGGGCUACAUUUAAGUUAUUUGGCUAUAAUGACUUGAGAGUGUGAUAAUGUUCUGUGAAGUGGACAACUUUAAACAUAAUGCUCUAAGUUUUUUUUGGUUGAUGUAUUGCAAUAAUUAGCAUUAAUAUCAACAUAAAACCCCGCAAAACAUAGUACAGUAAGGGGUCGUUUGGUAGGGUGUAAAAAAAUAAUGCUAAAUAGAGUGUAUUAGUAAUACUUGUAUUAGUUAUGCUUGCAUUAAUUAUACAUAGAUUGUUUGGUUUGGUUAUUAAAAAUAGCAUGCAUUGCAUAAAAAUAUUUAUUUACAAAAAUAUCCUCCACAAUUACGGUGGAAAAAAUGUAAAAAGGAUUUUGAGGUGUCGUUGAGUCUUUAACCCUGCUAAUGCAUGCAUUAGUCCCCUUGCAUUACUAAUACGUAGAAAUCCAUGGUAUUAGUAAUACACAACUUAAUACACAAUAGAGUGUAUGUAACUAAUACAAGCAUUAGUUAUACAUAACAUAAAAAAGUAUACCAAACAAGGUAUUACUAAUACACAGAGCUAAUGCAUGUAUUAUUUUUGUUAAUGCACUCUACCAAACGACCACUAAUUGGUUGGCCACAUGAAAAAAGUUAGUCAAAGUAUAACUAAUACAAAGUUGGUUGGCGGCAUUAGAGAUCCAAUCAAAUAUUGGUGAUGAAUCCCUCUCCCCCUUUUUCUCUUUUUCCCUAAACAAUUCCUGCAUUAAGUUGUAUGAAACAUUUAUUAUUUAAUAUGGAAUAGAAUGUGGAAGAAGAAUACAUAUAUUCGCAAUGUGGGGAUUAAACUAGCUCAAGACAAAAUGCCCUUUUAAAGUAAGUAAUUCAUGUAUAACAAUCUUCUCGCUAUUAAUGAUCGCACUAACAAUCCCAUCAUUAUUAAUCACCAUAUAAACAAUUCCUCCCCACAUAACUAGCAUGCCAACCAAGUGACCUGUAAAAGUAAAGGUCUGCUAGUGCUCCAAACAACAUUUGGAUUUAAAAUCUAAAUAACGGUUGGGAUGUUUCUUUUGUUGUUCCUCCAAUUCAACCAAAUACAUUUUGUCACUCACCAGCAGAAUUUUCGUAUUCUAAAGGUGCACUGUUACUGUACAUGUAAUAACCCCUUUUCAUCCCUCAUUCUACUGAUAUUCAUUUCUUUUUCUCUUGGGGGUGUGGAGGCUGGGAGCUGGAAUUAUAAAUUAUUACAUGAUAGUAUUCAAUCUUUUUAUUUACAAAUAAAUAUCUGCCCUCAGGGCUCUAUGAAAGAUGUUGGUGGAGAAGAACAGGGUCUAUCGAAUGUCAAAGUGAUGUGCAGGCUAUGCUUUUCCAGUGAAAAUGAAGGAGGUGAAAGAACAAGGAAAAUGAUGUCAUGCAAAAGUUGCGGGAAGAUGUAUCACCGAAGCUGCCUGAAAGCUUGGGGUCAACAUAGAGGUACUCUUAUUGGCCUCAAGAUUUGUCAGUUUUUAGUGUUGUACUUUUGCUAAUAUGCCCCUUCCUAUAGAUCUCUUCCAUUGGAGUUCAUGGAGAUGUCCCUCAUGCCAGCUUUGUGAGGUAAAACUUUUGAUUCAUUUCAAUAAAAUAAUGAAACAUAGUUGGUUUUGCUUUUUAAUAACUGCCUAAAACAUGACAAUUGUACGCUGAGUUGCUUUCUUUUUCUUUUUUGUGAACAAGUAGGUCAAAGCUAAUUCGACAAGACAUUGAAUUUUAUUACCUAACAAAAUGGAAAUAAUAAAUUAAUCAGAGAUAUCCCUAAUUUUCUUUGCUAGCCAUAUGUAACAACCGGAGGUUUUCAUAUUUAGGCAUUUUCGGUCCUAACCUGCUGCCAAGACCUAUGAGAGAUCACCCAUGUCAGUUUUGACCCAUAAAUCUUGGGGCAAGGUACACUGAUUAAAAAAAAGAUCCUGACUAAGGUGGAUGUCAAAACUAUGGAAAGAAGUUUUUUUCAACAUCUCUAUGUGUCGGCAUGGACAGUCAAUUGAGAAAAGAUAUUGCUUUUAAGGCAAUGCUCUUAAAUGAAUCCGUCCAUAUGUGUAUGGUGUAUGACAGUCAAUGGAGAUGGCGAAACAGGUAGAAUUUGACCCAUGGCCCCACUUAUACACAAACCCAUUAGCUACUAAUCAUACACUUGCCAUCUCAACUACCUUUUGUCCUGUAAGAAACAGGGAAGACUACGUUCCGCCAGAUCAAGUGGACCCAACUCAGAUAAGCGCCAUGUCAAAGCCAAAUUAGCUGCAAGCAAUAAUAGCUUAUAAUGAUAAACCCACGUUGAAACCCCAAUCCCUGGUUGUAAGAAGUUAUUUAAUGACACUAGAUGAUUUCUUGAGUUGUUAGACAGAGUUACCUGGUGGAAGGUACCUUGUGGAAUUAAUCCGUGCAAUCAGGGUGCCACAGUUAUUUUAAAAGAAGUCAUUUAAUGUGAAAUGAGUCACUAUAGUUCCGUUUUUUCCAUGUUUCACUUUUUAUGGUGUAAAGUUUGUCAUGUCAGUUUGCAAGGUGUCACUGAAUCAGAUUAGAUUUUCUUUUAUCCCCCCCGCCCUUCUGUUUCUCCAGCUUUCUUUUUUGGUCUUUGUGCUUUUGUCCUUGUGUUCUUUGGUGACUUCAAUUGUAGUUUUUUUUUUGAGAAUUCAGAUAUUUUGGAAUGAGGAAGUUUAAUUCGUCUAACCAAUGGGUAGCCAAACCAAAUCAAACAGUAUGUUAUAACCAACUACUCAACCAGCCUUUAGCCUUUAUCCCUUCCUUCGCUACUUCCGCUCUGGCACCACAGGACUUGCAUCUAACUAUGGAGGUUUCUUGGGGGAUAGAGAAAUAGCCUUGUAGGUCGGGAUAUUGGUAAGAUUUGAUCAGUGCUUUAAAAAAUGAAAAUUGCAAAAAAAGCAAUAAGGUCUUCAAAGCUUUAAUCAAAAGCAAUAAGCAGCGUACGAUUCAUCAACCAUAUGAAAUUACCUAAAUAUAUGAAUUUAGUACUUAUAAAAUCAAAUAGUGAUUAACAUUUUUUUUCAGUACCUGUUAUACAAUAAUGACUAUAUAUAGACACAAUACCUAAACUGAAAUAGAGUGAAAAUAAUGGUCAAUAGCAACAUUGAUUUUAGAUUCUUAAUAAAUUAACUAUUAAAAGAAUUAAUCAACUAUAACAAGAAUUAUUUUGCAGCAUUCAAUUUCAUAUUAAAUUGCUUUAGUAACUAUACAUAAAGUUGAAAGAGAAGCAAAAAGAAGCUCAAAAUCAGCAGUAGUUGAAGCUGGGGAUUUGCAUACAAGGAAAUUGUCAUCUUUGAAGAAAAAGAAAAAAGAAAUUUUAAGGAUAUACAGAAUCCUUGCCUUACUACAUAGACAAGUCAAUCCGGUUGAUAUUUUCGAUGUUAGGAGGUGGGGUUUGGAAGCAAUGGAAUGUUCUUUGAUUCCAAUGUUUGGAGGUGGGGUUUGGAGAUAGUGGAAUGUCCUCUGUGAAGUCCUUUCAUGAGAAACUAUUGGUUAGGAAGGAGAUGACAUUUUCCAUAUAGCAACAAUAUAAAUCUCAAAGGGUGUUGAGGAAGGUGUACGUUGUUUGCGUCAGUUUGUGUUUCAUGUGUAAGGAAGCGGGUGAGGAAGUGUCCCUAACAAGUAGGAUUAUAAAUGAAACUAUGGGCUGCUCUUCUUUUUUUUUUUAAAAAAAGAACACUUUUGCGGAAAGCAACUCUUCUGUUUCAUUAUUGGAGAUGUAUUCUGGAUCAUUCUCUUGUGAUUAUUGCAUUUUUGGCUAUUUGAUGUCUAUGUUAUUGUUCAACUCAUGUUUUUAUGCUCACUAUGUUGCUCAUAUAUACCGACUGUAUGUAUGCUCCUUGUUUGGUGUAGGGCUGUCGAAGAACCGGAGAUCCAAAAAAGUUCAUGUUUUGCAAAAGGUGUGAUGCAGCUUAUCACUGUUACUGUAUGCAGCCUCCACACAAGGUGGAUUCCUGUAUCUUACUCUUUCAGUUUUGUAUAAUGAUAAAAGUAGAUUAUAAUUAGUUGUUUUUGGGAUGUGCAGAACGUUAGCAGUGGGCCUUAUUUUUGCCCCAAAGACAAACUGUCACAGCUGUUGUUCUAAUGUUCCAGGAAAUGGACUGAGCGUGAGGUGUGUAGUAUGGGGCCAUGAGCUGCUAGUGGGAUAUCCUCUUGGAUUCAAGUUUUGCUAUAAAUGUUAAUUGAACACUCUAAUUAACUCCAUUUUAAUUAAAAUGCUUAUUCAUGUACUUUUCUUUGCUGUUUUUUUCUGUAUCUUUACAGAGGAGCAUCAUGUAGGAGUUCCAUUUGGUUUACAUUAUAUAUUCUGAUAAGGGCUUUGGAAGGAAUUUAACUCAGUUCUCUAGUUUUUGGCUUGCCUGUAGCACUGUGAAUUUUCCGUACUAAUGUCUUUUCGAGAUUCCCAAUACAAAUUAUUGCAAUAGCAUAAAAUAAUGUUGUGUGCUGCAUGUGAUGUAUGGAAAUCAUUUAAGGCAUUGCAUAUCCUAUGUAAAUUAUUUAAGGCUUUGCAUAUCCUAUGAAAAUCAUUUAGGGCAUUGUAUAUCCUAUUGCCUCUGAACUACUGAUUUCUUGAUCAAUGGCAAGUGGUUUUUAGGAUACACUUGUUGUGAUGCCUGUGGAAGAUUAUUUGUGAAGGGAAACUACUGUCCUGUUUAUUUGAAGGUAGAUAUUAUGGUGGUUUUUAUUAUCUGAGCAUCUCUUUGUUUGAUCUUACAAUUAGGUUCUUUGUACCAUGGUGGUUUACUAAUGCGAAGUUGCUAAGUUGUCGGAUAUUUUUACGUGAUGCCUUUUGCUUUCAUUGCCUUUCCAAAGCAACUGAGUGUUUUUCUUCCCAUGUGUCUAUGGGGAAUGCAAUUAAUUGUUUUUUAUACUGUAGGUAUAUAGAGAUUCUGAAUCAACACCUAUGGUCUGUUGUGACAUUUGCCAGCGCUGGGCGCACUGCCAAUGUGAUGGCAUCAGGUUCACCUUAGAUAUUGCUUUUAAGAUUAUUAAUUUAUUGGUCUUGCUUUGGUGCCUUUCUCAUGAAGUGCAAUUGUAUUUCUUAACACAGGGGAGAAUAUGGAUGUGCAUUAGGUUAAACUUUUCUAUUCUGGAAUUAAAUAUCACAAAUUUAUUAUUGACAGUAUCAUAUACCUUUUGUGGUGUUCUUGCAGCAGAUUUUGCUAUGUUAAAAUGUGGAAAGUGUUUCCAAGAAUAGUCUCAUCAUUGCCCAUUGACUUUUAUUGUUUCCUUGAAUAACUGAAUGGCAUUUUGGGUACUGCUGUUUAUGCUGCAUUUCUGCCUUAUUAAGAAUUUUAGUUUUGAUUUUAAUUUUCUAGAGAUUAGAAAGCUUUGCAAUCUUGGGCACCUACUGGUUGUAACUCCGGCUAUUUAGAUAUUAAACAAAAACAGUUCCCUUUAAUUAUUUAAGAUCUGUACAUUUUUUGAACUAUGUCAAGGGGGAAGUUGGAUCUUUUAAGAGGUGCCUAGCGCUUUCAUCAAUAUGAAAGAGGAAGCCUCAGGUCUGUACCUGUACAAUUAGGGCUCUUAGGCUACAGCUUCCACUGCAGGACAUGAGUUGAAGUGAGUGCUUAAGGGGGAUAAGCUUCAGUGGGCGAGGUAAUCGGCUAGCUGGGAAUUCAUUUUUAGGGCUAAGUCCCAAGGAGGCAGGUUUAAUCUAGUACGAGAGGAACUGUCGAUUCACAUAAUUGGUCAUCACGCUUGGUUGAAAAGCAAGUGGCACGAAGCUACCCUGUGCUAGAUUAUGACUGAAAGCCUCUACCCUUCAACUAUUUAGCCAUGUUUGAAGGAAUAUCAAGACUUUGGAUGCUCUGGAAGACAAUCAAAAGACUGUGGCCAUCCUUUAUCCCCAAUCUAUACUUUAGGAUUGGUAAUGGGGUGAAAACCAGUUUCUGGAAUGAACUCUGGUUAGGGGAAGAGAAUUUGAAGAUCAUGUUCCCAGAUCUUUAUAUAUUGAGCCUACAACAGAUGGACACUGUGGCAUAGGUGUGGAGCCCUUAAGGUUGGGAUUUGAUCUUUAGGAAGGCUUUAAAUGACUGGGAGGUUGAUAGAGUAGCAGGAUUACUACAGACACUAAAUGCAUUUCCAGGGGUCACUAAAGGUCCUGAUACUCCAAUUUGGAAAAUGCACAAGAAAGGGAUUUUUUCUGUGAAAUCUUGUUGCUGGAGCUUAAAUUCUAAUCAGACUAUGGAAAUGGAAUGGCCUUGGAAACUAAUUUGGAAAAUCAAGAUUCCUCACAAGGUCUCAGGUUUCACUUGGUUGGCAAUUAGGAAAGCACGUCUAACUCAUGAAGUGUUACAAAGAAGAGGUAUACAGAUUUUCUCAAGAUACAUGUGUGGGGAAGAGGCAGAAGUUAACAGUCACUUAUUCUUACACUGCAGAACAUCUAUAAAUCUGUGGGACAUGUUCUUAUGUAUACUUGGAGUUAACUGGGUAAUUCCCAAGACUACUUUAGACUUGCUGAGACACUGGGAAGGAGUGGGCAGAAGAAGAAGAUCCAAAGAGGACUGGUGGAAAUGCAUCCCAGCCUGCAUUUGGUGGACAUUGUGGAAGGAAAGAAAUGAAAGAUCACAUGAUGGGAAACUUAACAGCAUUCAGAAAAUCAAGAUGAAUAGCUUGAGCCAGCUGUACUUUUGGUGUAAACAGGAUUUGGUGGGUAGUUUAGUGGAUUUUAUAGCUUCAAUUGUAAAGUUUUUCCCCAGUUUUUGGCUUUUGAAAUUACCUCCUGGGGGCUGUAAAUCCCACCUCAUCAGGCUUUGCUGAUGAAUUUUUAUGUGAAUAUAAAGUUACCUUUAUUAAAAAAAACUAUUUAGGAUUCGUCCUAUUUUGGUAGGAAAAAGAUUAGAACCACUUCACAGAUAUGUCAAUUGAGUUCAUUAGAAGGGUUAAUGAUUGGCAAGGAGAACUGUUAUCAUUGGAGGGUCAAGGCCCUUUCAAGAUCUUGAGUAACUAAUGACAGAUCAAUUCAAACAAUGGCAUACAAACGGCAUUUAUGAAUGUUUUGCAUAGUAUAAUCUGUUGAUAAUUGUGGAGGAAGUUAAUGUUCGUGGAUAUGCAAAUGUUAAGUUAUUUAUACUCCCUCCGUCCCAAUUUAUAUGACACAUGUUCUUUUUUAGUCCGUCUCUAAAAGCAUGUCACGAUUUUUAUCAUGGGAGACAAUCUAACUUUAAAAUUUUCCUUUUUAACCUUAAUGAAAUGAUUUAUAACCAUAGAAAUGGUAGGCCACAAAUUUCAAAAGUUUUCAUUUCUUUCUUAAACUUUGGGCCAAGUCAACGGUGCCACAUAAAUUGGGAUGGAGGGAGUAAUUGUUUUGAGGAAAGAGGGAGUGAUUGUUUGUGCCACAUAUAUAUAAUGCAUGUGUGAGACGCCUGUAUAAUAGCACUUUUACCUAAAUUUGGUAUUGUCUUGAAAAGGGGGUAAUGGUUGCACUUUAAAAUAAGAAUAUGGAAUAGGUGGUCACCUGUAACGUAUCAGUGUGUAAAUGAAUUAAAGCCUGAUUACAUAAUGUGUUGGCUUGUUAGUCUUGCAUUGACUAGAUGAAUUGUUUGUUGGAAAUUGGAAAGAGAUGGCAAAUGGACGGAUCAAUUAUAUUUGAUUAUGUGAGUUUUUUUUUUCUUGGAGCAAUUCAGAAGAUUUAUGUUUCUCUCUUAAAUGAAGAAUUUGAACAAAAAUAAUCCGGGAGUAGUUAUUGAAAUGAAUUAAUGAGUAAAUAUAAAAUUUAAUUGAACAAGAGAAACACAGAACUUAGACUUUUUUGUCUCUCUUAAACUCAAUUUAAAGAAAGUAUUUCCAAGAAUAUUAUCACCAUUCCCCUUGACUCUUAGUGUUUCAUUGAAUGAUUGAACGGCAUUUUGGGGACUGCUGUUUAUGAAGACAAUAUAAUGGAUGAGUUCUUGUAUGCUAACUGGAUACUGCAGAAGUUGGGAAAAGAUGCAAAAGGAAAGAGAGUGGAAGUUCAUCAUUCAUCUGAUAAUGCCUAGUAAGCUUAUUGUUACAUCAAGCUGAUUGCUAUGCAUACUUAAAAUUUAUGCAACUUUAAUGGAAAUGAGUUCUGUGAUAUUCUGGAUUAGUACUCAUGAUAGCAAUGAGAAAAGGGCAAUCAGUAGAGCAAGUGAAUUGCAUUGGGACACAAGGAUAUAGUAGGAUAAAGAAAAGGAACACAUUAUCUUUAGUUACAAUGUUCAUUUGGGCUUUUAAUUAGCGUGACUCCCUUGCUGGUUCUUAAAUAUCAAAUUGUAUAGAAGAGCAUUCAUAUAAAUCUGCACCACCCUUUCUUUGAUGUGUGCUAGUUUGACCUUUCAAUUUGUCUUCUUUUUCAGGCAUAGAGGGACAGUCGUAGAAGUCUUUGAAGGCUUAUCGGUUGUGUUUGUUGCUCUUGAUGAUGGGAAGAAGAACUUGGAACUUAGAAAGCAAGGAAUAUGUUUUGUAUCUCAGAAGCAAAAACGUUGACUGCUAUUAAAAUUGGUUAUUAGAUGCAGCGUAUGUUGCGACUUCUGAUGCCAAGAGCAUGAGCAACUGCUGAUUCCCAGAGUAGCUCCUCUUUGGUGGACUCAAAUGAAGUAACUGAUCGUUGGAGGUCAAAUUUCAAGGUUACUGCACCCUGCAUCGUGUGUUUGCUGCAAGUUUGCUAACCUUUGCUUACCAUGUACGGUGUUGGUUGGUUCUGUUUUGUAGUUACCUUUCGUUUCCCAGUGUACAGAUUCUCUUUUCUGGUCAGAGGUAGAACACAGUUUUUGAGCCUUCUGGUGGUACUUAGAUUAAUGUUGCUGGGUUUGCAGUUUUAAUGUAAAACUUCUAGAGAUUAGAAAGCUCUGCUCCUACUGGUGGUAAGUUGUAACUCAGGGUAUUUUUUAAUUAUAGAAUAGCCAGUUGACCACUGUUUAAUAAGAACUAGGUAAACUACCCGUGCAAAGCACGGGAUUGAACUAUUUUUUUAAGCUUACAUAUGAUCAUUCGGUAAUAUUCAUAUUUCCGAUACAUACACUACAUUGUCAAGAACAUUUUAUCUUAAGGCAAAGUGUUCCUCUGAAAUCUUAAAGUGCUAUAUUUUUUAAUUUUUGUUUUUCUGUUAUACAAAAAUUAUGAGUCAUAGAGAGAUUUUAAGUAUAAGAAAGAAGUCUAAGAAAAUCUCCAUAGAAAUAUUUGGUAAGAAGUAAUGAAAUUUGCUAAAUUCGAAAAAGUUAUAAAGAACAACAUCAGACGUUAAAGUAGAGACCAAAAAGCCUCAAACAACAACACUCCCAAGUAAAGUUGAACAUCACAUCCAUACAAGAACAUAGUUAACUAAACUCAAAUGGAAGACCUUCAUCUCCUUUCUUAUAUGUUAAAAUGUCCCUAAAAUUGUUAGUAUCAUAAAUGUUUUUCCUCAUUGUCUUAGAAUAGUCAUUACUAUUGCUUAGGUUUCAUAUCACCAGUCCCAACUUAUUUUGAAUUGAACCAUAGUUAUUGUUAUGGUUAUAGUAUGCAGUUACAAAGAAUUAAUGCAAUUAUCAACCAAGCAGUAUGUGACAUCUGAAUGGAAUUGUUCACAACUGGAUAUUCUAAACCAAAAUUUUGAAACAUAACAUAUUAAAAUCUCACAGCAUAAUUUUGUGAGCACUUGAACUCACAAAUAUCCACAAAUAAUAAUAAAGACAACCUUACUUUCCUAGCAAUCAAGAAGAAAUAAUAUGUUGCUUAACAUAUUUUUCAAAAAGAUAGUCUAUCGGACUGUAUCCAAGUUUACCGUUCACAAAUUUAAUUGAAAUAAUCCAAAAGAAAGAGUUGUUACUUCUUUAUCAAAAAAACAAAAUAACUUUAUCAAAAUAAAGAGUUAUCACUACAGUAAAAAUGAUCUUUAACGGCAAUUAAUAGCUUAAUUGUCGCUAAAUAUUUAUUUUCAGAGGCAAUUGGUACUCUCUAUAAAUGUCCCUAAAGUUUAUAGCAACAUUGAAUCUAAUGACAAUUAACUAAUGUCCGUAAAGGCUGUAACACUCUUUGUUAAUGUGCAUAUUUAUGCCGAUAAAAAAUAUUUAUGUUAUAGUGUAUUUUGGACAUUUGUUUGUUUCAAGAAAAUUUGAUCUCUUAUUUUGCCCAAAAAGAAGAGACGAAGAAAUAUGACAAAUUCUUAACUUGCGACAAAAGAAGUGGACUAAUUGUGUCUAUACUAAUAUUAUAGGAAGAGUGCAAUGACAUACGAAUUGUUUGUACCUAAGAAAAAAAAAUAAAAAAUAAUAUACUAAAUGUGGCAAGAAAGAGAGCAAUCUGUUUGGUUCUUUUAACAAACUUCAUCAUUGGUUCCGUAUUAGUAUCACAUAUUUGUUGUUUGUGCUAUCAAAUAUAGCACAACCCACAUCGAUUUUCCCAAAAAGUAUAUGAAAAAACCUAUAGAAAGGGACAAAAGAGAAGAUAAAUUUACAAUUAUCCUCACUGAAAUUUUUAACAGAGUUAAAAAAAAGUCACCAAAAUAACAAAUAGAAAUUGCAAUAGAUACAUGAAUCACUAUGACUUACACUAAAAGAUUAAGCUUCAUGAAAUAUGAAGAAGAAAACUUUGAGGAAUGAAAUAUACUUCAUAAGAAGUUUAAUUAAUGUAUUUGAAUUCGACUCCCCUAUAGCAAAAAAUAAACUACAAAUAAUAGUGGCAGAAAUAAAAGUUUUGUUUACUAAAAAACCAAACGUAAGGAAUUCAACUAUUUCAACAGCGUUAUGAGUUGUGGAAUGAGAGGUGCAAGAGUAGUAAUGCCGCAUUGCAAUCCAAAUCAAUUUUCUUUGUUUAUAUGAAGAAACCGGUAGAAAGGGACAAAAGAGAAGAUCAAUUUUCAAUCAUCUUUGCUGAAAUUUUUAGCAGAGUUUAAAAAAAGUCGCCAAAAUAACAAAAAGAAAUUGUCAUAAUUACAUGAAUCACUAUGACUUAUAGUAAAAAUUAAGCUCCAUGAAAUAGGAGGAAUUAAACAAACAUCAUAAGAAGCUUAAUUAAUGUAUUUGAAUUCGACUACCCUACAAAUGAUAGUGACAGAAAAUCCCUCUAUUUAUAAACUACAAAGGGUGGUGUGAACAAAUUUCUAUUUUAACUUAUCGGAAAGGUCACAAUCUUUCAUAAAAGCCACAACUCUUCAUUAAAGUCACAACUCUUCAUAAAAGUCGCAACUCUUCAUAAAAGUCACAACUCUUCAUAAAAGUUGUAACUUUUCAUAAAAGUCGCAACUUUUCAUGAAAAGGGAAGGCUAGUUUUGGAAAUAAAUAAAUUAAAAGGGAAUUCUAGUUUGUGGUGGCGCCACAUAGGCGGCCUAUGGUUCUCUUUUAUAUAUAUAUAUUACAGUAAAUUCUAUUAGAUAUAUAAUCAGCCUGAGGAUUUUUAUAAUCUCAUUGUUUUGUUUAGCUACAAGAAAAUGUGAAACUAAUUUAGAAUAUAUUUAAAAUCACCUCUUGAUAUAUCUGUAGAAGCACAUUGAAGACAAGCAAUGUGAGAGUAAACUUUUUUUAAGUAGUCACUCAAGUUUAGAAAAUUUUUUAGUAACAUUAUUUUUGUUUCUUUGGAUUAUAAUAUCACGUCAUUAUUCUUAUUUUUCUCAAAAUAUACUGACACAAUAAAAACAUCAUUCUUUCGCCUAAUUAGCUGACAUGUCACAUUAUUACUUUUUUUUUAAAUAAUAUUUUUUUAAACUCUUUUAAAUUAGGAAAAACUACAUAAAAGGGUCAUCAAACCUAAAAUAUUUACAGCCUCAUACCCAAACCCAAAGUAACUCUUCAUAUAUCCAUUCUCCUCUAAUUAUUUACAGCCCAUACCCCCUCCCUUUUAUUAGCCCAUUCUUCCAUUAUUGUCCAAAUCGUUCGGCCCAAUUUGUUAUUCAAGCCCAUUACUAAUUGUCCAAUCGUUCAGACCAAUUUGUUAUUCAAAAGGAAUAGGCCCCACGGAAAUAACCCACCCGAUUUGUCUAGGUGGAGCAACGACGAAGUUCAACAGUUGUGUGCAAUUUCUUCGGUCUGUCAUUGUUAGUCGAGAUAAGUCUGUUUUUUGUGUGGUACAAUUCUUUCUCUAUUCCACUUACAUUUAUUUUUUGUUUCCAAUACAGUUUCUUUCGAAUUAAUUAUGGGGUUUCUGUGAUUUUAUUUUUGAUUUUUCAAAUUGUUUUCUAUGGGCCGUAAAAACAUAGUACUAGUUGUUGGUGGGGGCAUCGUUCUACUUAUGUUAAUUAUGUUGACAAUGAUAGCGAUAACGAUAAUGUAGGUGAUCAACAAUCAAGGGUUUCGAGUAUGUUUGGGCCAAUUUUUUCUUUCCAUUUGAAUGCAAACACAAUAGACAAUGUUGGCUUAAGUGAAUAAAUCAACCAUGCAGAUGUUGUGGGUUAAGAAAUCGGGGUUGAUUUGAAGAGGAAUGGGAAGGCACCUAUGGAUUCUGAACAACAGACUAAAAAAUAAAAUUUAGGUUGUUCUUCUGGUCCGUCCAUUCCUUCAGAAUCGUUCCCCAAAAUGAAAACCGAAAAUAUUGGUGGAUCCGGCGACAAAGCCAUUGAUCAAUAUUCUCAUUUGAAGGUAUAAUACUACUUUUUUUUUUAUAAAUUAAUCUGACUCAUGAUAUGUUUAUCCUCUUUUACUUAAUUUGUUACUCAGAAGAAUUUUGAAUUUUGCAUUCUUCUUGUCUUUAGAGUCGACAAGUAUCGUCUAGACAAAUAACAAUAUAUCUGUAUUAUAUGUGUAUGUGACUGAACAAUGUUCUUUUCAUUUAUUCAUUUUUUGUCUUUAGAGUUGACAUGAUAUGUUUUUUCUGUCACUGUUUUUUAACUUUGUACUCUUUUUUUAUACAACGACAGUGGAAUUUCUGUUGCGGCGUUUGCUGAAUAUUUCAUUGAAGGUCUCACAAUACCAGCUGUUUUGGACAGUUUAGAGAUUGACAUUAUUCUUUCAAGAUAUGACAAGCUACUGUGGUCUUAUGGCAAGCAGAAACAAAUGGAUAGUGAGUGUAGCGAGACAGAAAAUCCUGGCAGACUGGGGAAGCUGGGAAAAAGCGGAAGGCGUAGGAUUAGUUAUUUAUUUUUAUUUUCUGUUAAUGUACUGUUAAAAUUUUUAAAACUGACAACAUAGUGAAUAGUUUGUUUUUUAUAAUCAUUAGGUGUUCACUGAGUAAUUUCUGAACAGUUAAAGGGAAAUGAUAACAAGAGAGUAUUUGAACUAGACAAACCUCAAUGAUACUAAUUCUGUAGAUAUAUAUCUUUUUAGUAUCACUAAGUUAGUUAGGAACACGAGAAACAUCAAAUGAUACCUAUCCUGUAUAUAUAUACUAUUUUAGUAUUCACUUUCUAAAUUAGUUGCGAACAAGAAAACCUCAAUGAUACUAAUUCUGUAGAUAUAUAUCUUUUUAGUAUCACUAAGUUAGUUAGGAACACGAGAAACAUCAAAUGAUACCUAUCCGGUAUAUAUAUACUAUUUUAGUAUCACUUUCUAAAUUAGUUGCGAACAAGAAAACCUCAAUGAUACCAAUCAUGUAGAUAUAUGACUUGUUAGUAUCAGUUACUAAGUUAGGUAUAAACACGAAAACCUCAAUGAUACCAAUCCCGUAGAUAUAUACCUUUUUGGUAUCAAUUAUAAAGUUAGUUAGGAACCAGAAAUCCUCAAUGAUACCAAUCCCGUAGAUAUAUACCUUUUUGGUAUCAAUUAUAAAGUUAGUUAGGAACCAGAAAUCCUCAAUGAUACCAAUCCUGUAGAUAUAUACUUGUUUAGUAUCACUUACUAAGUUCGUUAGGAACACGAAAAAAAUCAAAUGAUACCACUCCUGUAGAUAUAUACAAUUUAAGUAUCACUUACUAAUUUAGUUAUGAACAAGAGAAACCUCAAUGAUACGAAUCAUGUAGACAUUUACUAUUUUAGUAUUACUUAGUAAGUUAGUUAGGAACACGAGAAACAUCAAAUGAUACCAAUCUUGUAGAUAUAUUCAAUUUUAGUAUUAUUUACUAAGUUAGUAAUGAACAAUACAAACCUUAAUAAUAUCAAUCUUGUAGAUAUAUACCUUUUUAGUAUCACUUACUAAUUUAGUUAGGAACACGAGAAACAUCAAAUGAUACCAAUCCUGUAGAAAUAUACUAAUUUAGUAUCAUAUUACUAAGUUAGUUAUGAACAAUACAAACCUCGAUGAUACAAAUCCUGUAGAUAUAUACCUUUUUAGUAUCAUUUACUAAGUUAGUUAUGAACAAUACAAACCUCAGUGAUACCAAUCCUGUAGAUAUAUACUAAUUUAGUAUUAUUUACUAAGUUAGUUAGGAAAAAUUAAAACCUCAAUGAUACCAAUCGUGGAGAUGUAUACCUCUUUAGUAUCACUUACUUUAGUUAGGAACACGAGAAACAUCAAAUGAUACCAAUCCUUUAGAUAUAUAAUAAUUUAAUAUCAUUUUACUAAGUUGGUUAAUUAGGAGCAAUACAAACCUCAAUGAUACCAAUCCUGUAGAUAAACACAUGUUUAGUAUCACUUAGUAAGUUAGUUAGGAACACGAUAAAUAUCAAAUGAUACCGAUCUUGUAGAUAUAUACUAAUUUAGUAUCAUUUACUAAGUUAGUUAGGAACACGAGAAACCUCAAUGAUACUAAUCCUGUAGAUAUAUACCUUUUUAGUAUCACUUACUAAUUUAGUUAGGAACACGAGAAACAUCAAAUGAUACCAAUCAUGUAGAUAAAUACUAAUUUAGUAUCAGUUUACUAAGUUAGUUAUGAACAAUACAAACCUCAAUGAUACAAAUCGUGUAGAUAUAUACCUUUUUAGUAUCACUUACUAAUUUAGUUAGGAACACGAGAAACAUCAAAUGAUACCAAUCAUGUAGAUAAAUACUAAUUUAGUAUCAGUUUACUAAGUUAGUUAUGAACAAUACAAACCUCAAUGAUACAAAUCGUGUAGAUAUAUACCUUUUUAGUAUCACUAAGUUAGUUAGGAACACGAGAAACCUCAAUGAUACUAAUCCUGUAGAUAUAUACCUUUUUAGUAUCACUAAGUUAGUUAGGAACACGAGAAACCUCAAUGAUACUAAUCCUGUAGAUAUAUACCUUUUUAGUAUCACUAAGUUAGUUAGGAACACGAGAAACCUCAAUGAUACUAAUCCUGUAGAUAUAUACCUUUUUAGUAUCACUAAGUUAGUUAGGAAAUACCAAUCUUGUAGAUAUAUACUAUUUUAGUAUCAUUUACUAAGUUAGUUAGGAAUACGAGAAACCUCAAUGAUAUCAAUCCUGUAGAUAUAUACCUUUUUAGUAUCACUUACUAAUUUAGUUAGGAACAUGAGAAACAUCAAAUGAUACAUAUCCAGUAGAUAUAUACCUUUUCAGUAUCAUAUACUAAAUUAUGAACAAUACAAACCUCAAUGAUAUCAAUCAUGUAGAUAUAUACCUUUUUGGUAUCACUUACUAAUUUAGUUAGGAACACGAGAAACAUCAAAUGAUACUAAUCCUGUAGAUAUAUUCCUGUUUAGUAUCAUUUACUGAGCUAGUUAAAAAUAGUACAAACCUCAAUGAUAACAAUGAUGUAGAUAUAUACUAAUUUAGUAUCAUUUUACUAAGUUAGUUAUGAACAAUACAAACCUCAAUGAUACAAAUCAUGUAGAUAGAUACCUUUUUAGUAUCAUAUACUAAGUUAGUUAUAAACAACACAAACCUCAAUGAUACAAAUCCUGUAGAUAUAUACCUUUUUGGUAUCACUUACUAAUUUAGUUAGGAACACGAGAAACAUCAAAUGAUACCACUCUUGUAGAUAUAUACAAUUUAAGUAUCACUUACUAAUUUAUUUAUGAACAAGAGAAACCUCAAUGAUACGAAUUACAUUUACUAUUUUAGUAUCACUUAAUAAGUUAGCUAGGAACACGAGAAACAUCAAAUGAUACAAAUCAUGUAGGUAUAUUUAAUUUUAGUGAAUAGUUUGUUUUUUUUAUAAUCAUUAGGUGUUCACUGAGUAAUUUCUGAAUAGUUUAAGGGAAAUGAUAACAAGAGAGUAUUUGAACUAGACAAACCUCAAUGAUCCCAUUUUAGAUAAUAUACUAUUUUAGUAUCAUUUACUAAGUUAGUUAUGAACAAGACAAACCUCAAUGAUACCAAAUCUGUAGAUAUAUACCUUUUUAGUAUCACUAAGUUAGUUAGGAACACGAGAAACAUCAAAUGUUACCUAUCCGGUAUAUAUAUACUAUUUUAGUAUCACUUUCUAAGUUAGUUGCAAACAAGAAAACCUCAAUGAUACCAAUCAUGUAGAUAUAUGACUUUUUAGUAUCAGUUACUAAGUUAGGUAUGAACACGAAAACCUCAAUGAUACCAAUCCCGUAUAUAUAUACCUUUUUGGUAUCAAUUAUAAAGUUAGUUAGGAACCAGAAAUCCUCAAUGAUACCAAUCAUAUAGUUAUUUACUAUUUAAGUAUCCUUUACUAAGUUAGUUAUGAAUAAUACAAACCUCAAUGAUAUCAAUCCUGUAGAUAUAUACUUGUUUAGUAUCACUUACUAAGUUCGUUAAGAACACGAGAAAAAUCAAAUGAUCAUACCACUCCUGUAGAUAUAUACAAUUUAAGUAUCACUUACUAAUUUAGUUAGGAACACGAGAAACCUCAAUGAUACCAAUCAUGUAGAUAUACACUAAUUUAGUAUCAUUUACUAAGUUAGUUAGGAACACGAGAAACCUCAAUGAUACCAAUCAUGUAGAUAUACACUAAUUUAGUAUCAUUUACUAAGUUAGUUAGGAACAAUACAAACCUCAAUGAUACCAAUUCUGUAGAUAUAUACCUUUUUAGUAUCACUUACUAAAUUUAGUUAGGAACACGAGAAACAUCAAAUGAUACCAAUCCUAUAGAUAUAUACUAAUUUAGUAUCAUAUUACUAAGUUAGUUAUGAACAAUACAAACCUCGAUGAUACAAAUCCUUUAGAUAUAUACCUUUUUAGUAUCAUUUACUAAGUUAGUUACCUCAAUGAUACCAAUCAUGUAGAUAUAUACUAAUUUAGUAUUAUUUACUAAGUUAGUUAGGAACAAUAAAAACCUCAAUGAUACCAAUCCUGCAUAUGUAUACCUUUUUAGUAUCACUUACUUUGGUUAGGAACACGAAAAACAUCAAAUGAUACCACUCCUUUAGAUAUAUAAUAAUUUAGUAUCAUUUUACUAAGUUAGUUAGGAACAAUACAAACCUCACCAAUCCUGUAAAUAUACACUUGUUUAGUAUCACUUAGUAAGUUAGUUAGGAACACGAAAAAUAUCAAAUGAUAUCGAUCCUGUAGAUAUAUACUAAAUUAGUAUCAUUUACUAUGUUAGUUAGGAACACGAGAAACCUCAAUGAUACUCCUGUAGAUAUAUACCUUUUUAGUAUCACUUACUAAUUUAGUUAGGAACACAAGAAACAUCAAAUGAUACGAAUCCUGUAGAUAUAUACUAUUUUAGUAUCAUUUACUAAGUUAGUUAGGAACACGAGAAACCUCAAUGAUAUCAAUCCUGUAGAUAUAUACCUUUUUAGUAUCACGUACUAAUUUAGUUAGGAACAUGAGAAACAUCAAAUGAUACAAAUCCAGUAGAUAUAUACUUUCUCAGUAUCAUAUACUAAGUUAUGAACAAUACAAACCUCAAUGACAUCAAUCAUGUAGAUAUAUACCUUUUUGGUAUCACUUACUAGUUUAGUUAGGAACACAAGAAACAUUAAAUGAUACUAAUCCUGUAGAUAUAUUCCUGUUUAGUAUCAUUUACUAAGCUAGUUAAAAAUAGUACAAACCUCAAUGAUACCAAUGAUGUAGAUAUAUACUAAUUUAGUAUCAUUUUACUAAGUUAGUUAUGAACAAUACAAACCUCAAUGAUACAGAUCAUGUAAAUAGAUACCUUUCUAGUAUCAUAUACUAAGUUAGUUAUAAAUAACACAAACCUCAAUGAUACAAAUCUUGUAGAUAUAUACCUUUUUGGUAUCACUUACUAAUUUAGUUAGGAACACGAGAAACAUCAAAUGAUACCACUCUUGUAGAUAUAUACAAUUUAAGUAUCACUUACUAAUUUAUUUAUGAACAAGAGAAACCUCAAUGAUACGAAUUACAUUUACUAUUUUAGUAUCACUUAAUAAGUUAGCUAGGAACACGAGAAACAUCAAAUGAUACAAAUCAUAUAGGUAUAUUCAAUUUUGGUAGCAUUUACUAAGUUAGUUAGGAACAAUAAAAACCUCAAUGAUACCAAUCAUGUAGAUAUAUACCUUUUUAGUAUCACUUACUAAUUUAGUUAGGAACAAGAGAAACAUCAAAUGAUACCAAUUCUGUAGAUAUAUACCUUUUUAGUAUCACUUACUAAUUUAGUUAGGAACACGAGAAACAUCAAAUGAUACUAAUCCUUUAGAUAUAUACCGAUCUUGUAGAUAUAUAUUUUUUUAGUAUUAUCUACUAAUUUAGUUAGAAACACGAGAAACAUCAAAUGAUACCAAUCCUUUAGAUAUAUACUAAUUUAGUAUCAUUUUACUAAGUUAGUUAUGAACAGUACAAACCUCAAUGAUACCAUUUCGGUAGAUAUAUACCUUUUUGGUAUGACUUACUAAUUUAGUUAGAAACACGAGAAACAUCAAACGAUACCAAUCCUGUAGAUAUACACAUGUUUAGUAUCAUUUACUAAGACCAAGAUAAUCCUCAAUGAUAUCAGUCCUGUAAGUAUUUACUAUUUGAGUAUUACUUACUAAGUUAGUUAUGAACAACAUUAGCGUCAAAUGAUAUUAAUCCUGUAGAUAUAUUCAGUUUUAGUAUCAUUUACUAAGUUAGUUAUGAACAAUACAACCUCAAUGAUACCAAUCUUGUAGAUAUAUACAUAUUUAGUAUCACUUAGUAAGUUAGUUAGGAACACGAGAAACAUCAAAUGAUACCAAUUAUGUAGGUAUUUACUAUUUGAGUAUCAUUUUACUAAGUUAGUUAUGAACAAUACAACCUCAAUGAUACAGAUCCUAUAGAUAUAUACCUUUUUAGUAUCAUUUACUAAUUUAGUUGUGAACAAUACAAACCUUAAUGAUAUCAAUCCCGUAGAUAUAUACUAAUUUAGUAUCAUUUACUAAGUUAGUUAAGAACAAUACAAACCUCAAUUAUACCAAUUUGGUAGAUAUAUAUCUUUUUAGUAUCACUUAAUAAGUUAGUUAGGAACACGAGAAACAUCAAAUGAUACCAAUUAUGUAGGUAUUUACUAUUUGAGUAUCAUUUUACUAAGUUAGUUAUGAACAAUACAACCUCAAUGAUACCAAUCUUGUAGAUAUAUACAUAUUUAGUAUCACUUAGUAAGUUAGUUAGGAACACGAGAAACAUCAAAUGAUACCAAUCUUGUAGAUAUAUACCUGUUUAGUAUCACUUACUAAAUUAGUUAUGAACACGAAAACCUCAAUGAUACCAAUCCUGUAGAUAUAUACGAUUUUAGUAUCACUUACAAUAAAGACAUACUAUUGUAGUAUCUCUUGAUAAAUUAGUUAUGAACAAAUAGCUUAAUGAUACCAUCUAGUUGCGUACAUUAUUUUUGUUAUAAACUAUUUUGAAAUAUGGUUUAACUUUAUGAUCAAUAUCAUCUAGUUGCCUCGUGAGUAUCUUAAUAUAGUUAUUCUAGCUGAAUGAGUCUUAUGUGAGAGCACUCAGUAUAGGUAAUACCAAUAAAGUAUAUAGAUACGUAUUUAGUAUCAUUUAGUAAUUUGUAAAAUAUGAAAAAAGAUAACCUUCAUGAUACCAACAUAGUAUAUAGAUUCUAUUUUAGUAUCAGUUACUAAUGAGUUGUAUAUGGAGAAUAGAAAGUUAAUGAUGCUAACACUGUAAAUAUAUACUUGUUUAGCAUCAUUGCGACUACUGACUACUGUGUGGAAUAGAAAUACUAUUGAUACGAACAUAGUAUAUAUAUACCUUAUUAUUAUCAGUCAAACAAUGAGCACUUUGUGAACAAUAUAAACCUUGUUUUUUGAAUUUGAACAUUCCAUCAACAUUAGUAGCACUAUAUAACAAAUAUUUUGUAAUGUCUAUCUAAAUCAAUACAAACAGUACUGUUUCAAUCCUUCUUUGGAAUUCUUUUGCAAGUUCUUCGAUUGUGUCCUUUAUGUCCACAUCAUCCACAUUUUACUUUUGUUGGAAUAUAGUAUUUUUCAGAUCCUCCUUUCCCUCUUUGUUUUCUAGGUCUUCCUGCAGGGAUUUUGGCAUUGGGUGGGAGCACCUUGCGUGAUGAUAUAUUAUCUGGAAGUUGGCACAUUAUUUUGUCAGGUAGAGGAUUAACUGGUGCCUCAUAUGAGAAGUUUCUAGUGUAGUAAGGAGAACAAUAUGUAUAUUUGUCAAGGUGAAAUUUGCGCACCACUAUCAUGGCAUGUCUACAUGAAAAUUCAUUUAUUUGGAACUUUCCACAUGUACAUGUCUUUACAUGUAGUGAAACAGUGUAUUUCACUUGACCAUCUCUGACGGAAUGAACAAAAUGAGUAGAAGGUGUUACCUGUAUUUAUUCCAAAAAACAGAACUUUUUUUAACUCAAAACUGUAACAGUAUACAAAUACUAUUUUGGUAUCAUUCGGUAUUUGCUCAUUUUCUCUAAUUAUUUAUGAAUGAUACCAGAACAAUAUAUCAUAUACUAUUACAGUAUCACUCAGUACUGUGCAUUUCCUCCUGGAUUGUGUUAUUUUUUCUGAACAAUACCACAACAGCAUGCCAUACACUAUUAUAGUAUCAUUCAGUAAUUGCUUAUUUUCCAUUGGACAUGUGUGGACAUCAUUGAAACUUGUUACUCAAAAGAAUUUUGAUUUUUGUAUGCUUCUUGCCUUAAGAGACCAUCGACAUGUGUCUUCAACACAAAUAACAGUAUAUCUGCAUUCAACAAGUAUGUGAUUGAAUAGUAUUGUUUAUAUUUGUAAAAUAAAUAAUACGUUAAAGACCUCAACAAACUAAGUUGAGGUCAUUUCGCGCUGAUUACUUUUGAAUGAUACCACCACAGUAUACAUAUACUAUUUUGGUAUCAUUCAAUAUUUUGCUCAUUUUCUCUGAUUAUUUAUGAAUGAUACCAAAACAGUAUAUCAUAUACUAUUAUGGUAUUACUCGCGGUGAGCGUAGUAGCCCCUUAGCAUGCUCAUUGUACAAAAAUCAUAGAUAUUUUAUUGGUUCAUAAAAGUAAAGACUAAACUAAUCAAAGAUAUCGAGGACAAAGAUACAUUGAUAAGAAUUUUAGCGGAUCGAUUGUAUUACAUCAGUUAAUUCCUAAAACGAGUGAAAAUUAAAUGAUGAAAAAGGGAGCGAGACGGGGAAGAAAGAUAUUUACCUUACCGUGCUGAAUUUAACUUACUUUAUCAUAUCAUAUUAAACAUUUCUUUCUACUUUUAUCAUGCUCCAUCGAGCAUUCUUAAAAUUUCUUGUGUUUUUUAUACUUUUAUUUUGUAAUGUUUUACUUUAGUUUUCUCUUUUUAAAAAUUUUAAAUUAGUAUCCAUUCAAUCACAUAUUACUAUGAAAAUCGUCAAGAUUCUCUAAAAGUGUGUAAGAAUAGAGUUACUAAUAUUAUAAUGCAUAUUCAGAAGAUAAAUAAAUAACAUCGUCAAUUUUUUUAGUUCAUAUAGUUCAAUUUACUAGGUUAGUCAUAAUUUGUAAAAAAGACAAAUAACGAUUAAAUCAAAUAAGUUUACUUUCCAUCCCUCUAAAAUAGAAUUAAAAAUAUAAAAGAAAUUUCAUGAAUUCUAUAAAUUAAUAUUUUUAAAAGGAUGUUGACGAUAUUUAAGUUUCUUCAUUCAAUUACAUCUAAUUUAUCUUUUUUUUUUAAAUAUAUAUAUUUCUAUCUCUAUUUCAAGUUAAAUAUAAUUCAUCAUUUUUUAAAAGAGUUGUUCAAGUUAGUAUAUGAAAAAGAGUUACGUUGAAACAACAUGAAUAAUAGAUUUAAAAAUAAUAAAAAAUAAAAAUAAAAAGAACGUGUCUAAUAAAUUUAAACAAGAACAAAUUAAAAGAAGAAAUGGAAUAAAAGGAAAAAAUAAUGAAAAAGAAGAAAAAGGUCUAAGUCCAAAAGUUUCAUUUUCCAAAGCAUAUUAAAAAGAGGGAAAAAAUAUGGGAUUUGAACCCGUGACCUAGGGGCAUAUCUUGAACCACUUAUCCACUGAGCCAAGCAUGUCCUUUGUUUCAGGGGGUUCAUUUCAAUAUAUAUAUAUAUAUAUAUAUAUGGAAUAAAAGGAAAAAAUAAUGAAAAAGAAGAAAAAGGUCUAAGUCCAAAAGUUUCAUUUUCCAAAGCAUAUUAAAAAGAGGGAAAAAAUAUGGGAUUUGAACCCGUGACCUAGGGGCAUAUCUUGAACCACUUAUCCACUGAGCCAAGCCUAUACUCUAUUUUUAGGAUGUUCAUUUUAAUAUAUAUUCCCAUAAAAUCAGAAUUUGACGUAAUAUAUAUCGUGUAAUUUUUUGACGAGGGGGUUUGGGUGAACCCCCUAGGGUCCACCUAGGUCCGCCCCUGCCUGGACUGUGUUAUUAUUUCUGAACAACAACAUGCCAAAUACUAUUUUGGUAUCAUUCAAUAAUUGCGCAUUUUCAACUGAUUAUUUUUGAAUGAUACCAGAAGAGUAUGCCAUAUACUAUUAUGGUAUCACUGAUUAACUAUCCAUUUCCUCGUGGACUGUGUUAUUAGUUUUGAAUGAUACCACAAUAGCAUGACAUACACUAUUAUGGUGUCAUUCAGUAAUUGCUCAUUUUGCACUGAUUAUUUCUGAAUGAUACCAGAAGAGUAUGACAUAUACUAUUAUGGUAUCACUUAGUAAUUGUCCAUUUUCCUCCUGGAUUGUGUUAUUAUUUUCUGAAUGAUUCCACAACACCAUGUCAUAUACUAUUAUGGUAUCAUUCAGUAAUUUGUUCAGUAAAAUUAUUUUUUGAAUGAUACCAGAACAGUAUGUCAUACAUUAUUAUCGUAUCAUUUAGUAUUUCUGCAGUUUCCCCUAAUCGUUUGAUAAAUUUACUAAAAACAACAUGUCAUUUUAAACAUUAUAUAUAGGGAUUUGUACAUAUUUUUGCAAGAUCUCGGGGUUUUAUACUGAAAACCUUCCUGAACUAAAUGUCGCCUUACAACUUGAGCUAGAGUGAUUUUGUUUUUGUAGAUGUGAUAAACUUAGAUUGAUUGUUUUGAUAUAUCUGUGGUUAUCUCUGUUGAAGUCAUAUCCUCAGCAACAUCAUUAGCAGGAAGAUUAAUUUCAAAGAAUGUAUUUUUUUCAUAAAUUAGUAACUCUGUAUUUUGUUGAGAUAUUUCUGGAGAAUCGGUCAUUUUUUUCAUUGCAGUGUUGUUGUAGGCAAUGACCAACGGAUAAGAAGUAAUAUCUGCAUUCUUCUUCUUCUUCAAGUCGAUGUACAUUUUCACUCACAUAUCGUUCAAUAUUUUCAAUUGCGGAAAUCCUUGCGCAAUUGAAUAGCUGAUGUCAAUACUUCUAGAAAUAUUAAUUUUGAGAUGAUUGGAAAUUUGUGUGAUGAAAGCUUCAAAAUUUGUAGGUGUUUCUACAAGCAGUGCAUCAAUAUCAAAGUUGAUGUAAUUUUACUCUGAAUUACAAAUUUCGUUAUGCUGCAAAAGGAUCGGUAUUUGCUCCAUUGAUGGAUAGAACGAACUUCAACGUUGAUCUGAUCUGGAAGAAGAAGAAUUGUGUAUGAAGGAAGAAGGAGAACUUGGGAAAAAAAGCAGAAUCGUGAAUGAAAAAAUAAAGAGGAGUAGGGAAGAACAAAGAACUGAUUGGAAGUUGAUCGUUAGGGCUUUUUAAAUCAAUUAUGCAAAUUGACUGGAAAUGGAUAUAGAAUGUAAUUAUUUUAGGGUAUGAAAGUAAUAGGGUAUAUGAUUGUAACUAUUUUACUCCUAAGGGCUAUUUCCUUAGUUUUCCCUAAAUUAUCCAUAUCCUAUACUUGAUAAAAGAUAUUAUUAUAGAAUAGCAAAACUUUUCUACCCUAGUUCUCUGGGAUUUCGAGGCAAAAUUCAAUAUGAACUUCUCUAGUUCUUUGGGUAGUUAUAAUUCAAUUGUCCCGUAAUAUAUGUUAUAUUUUACUUUUUGAGAGUCAAAUUAUUUGAAUAUUGAACACUAUUUCGAGAUAUAUUAUUUCAUCAUAAUAAUAUUAAAUAAUUACAAUUUAUAAUAUUACUAUUUACUAGACAAAUUCUCGAAUAUAAAUGACUAUUCACGUAAUUUAUUUCAAAAUAUGAUGAAGAUUUUUUCCCGAGAUAUCAUUAAUGACACUUUUACCACUAAUAUCAAUGAAAAAUUAUAAGGGAAUCAUAAAUAGAUUUAAAAUUUUAUAAUCUAAUCAAAAUAUUUUGUUUAAAAAUAACUAUCUUGAGGUGAUCAUACCUAACAUUCAGAUUAUUCAACAACAUAAAAGCUAUCUUUAGUAAUAAAAUAUUUUAUUUUCAAACCUUAUCAAGAUGAUAACAGAAAAUAUUUAUCUUUAUUUUGACUAGAUCUCAAUUUAAUACUUUAUUAGUAUUUUUGAUGAUGUCUACCAUAUUAAUCAUUUCAAUUUUAAAAGAAAUGAAGACAAACAGUUUUUUUUAUUUUUUAUUAUGUAUUAUAUAUUAUAUAGAGAGAGAGACUCUUUUAUUCGGUUUGUCUUCUCCAACUGCCACUGGAUUCACGUCAGAAGUAGCUGCAGCAUCAUCUCUCUGUUUCCAUGUAAAACCCUAAAUCCUAUUUUCCUCUUUGUACAUAUACUGGGUCUUAUAUUUUUCAUUAUUCUUAGUUAUUAGAAUUGUUUUGUGCUUUUCCUUUUUGUCUUAUUUAUAUAUUUUAGUUUUUCUUGUUUGAGUUUCCUAAUUUCUGUUUAUUCUGGUUCUUUUUUUAACCCCAUGAUUAAUUAAUUUUCCGGUUCGCAAUCAAUUCCUGUUAGAAGAGAAGAGCUAAACGUGGGAAGGAAGUAUUCAAGUGUAGGAAUUGGGUGGUUCUGAAAUUUUGGAUAUUUGGAAUAUGAUUAAGAUAUUAAGCAAUGGAAAAAAUAGGAGAAGUUAUUUAAGAGCUAUUUUAUUUUGGUGGAAGCUGGAAAGGGUAGAUUAUAUGGAGAAAACUUAAAAAGAUUGAAUUUUUAUGGGUUCUUUUUCUCUUUUUCUAGCAAUUCGUGUUUCUGUUUAUUUUGGUCUUUUUUUUUAACCUCGAAAACCCCAUAAUUAAUACACUUCCCUGUUCGCACUUUUUUUUGGGUCAAUUCCUGUUAGAAGGGAAGAGCUAAACGUGGGAAUUGGGUGGCUCUGAGAUUUUGGAUAUCCGGAAUAUGAUUAAGAUAUUAAGCAAUGAAAAAAAUAGGAGAAGUUGUUUAAGAGCUAUUAUAUGGAGAAAACUUAGAAAGAUUGAAUUUUUAUGGGUUCUUUUUUCACUUUUUCUAGCAAUAUGUGAACUAUCCCAUCUCCUUUGACAUUAUCUAAAUGAGGAUGAAUUGUAGAACAUUUAAUGUUCAAAUUUAAACUUGGAUUUGAUUUAAAUAUUAUGUUAUCUACACUAUCUUAUUAUACCAUAUUUGAAUAUUCUCAUAUCUACACUAUUUAAUUAUGUACCAUAAUUAACGAACUCCAUAUCCAGUUGAAUGAUGUCACUUUAAACGGAUAACUAGUAUAUGGUUAGUGGAAUAUUGUGAAACAUUUUGUGAUGGUUAAAAUAGAAAGAAUGUCAAUAAUUUGCUUAUAAACAAUAGUUUAUUAUCAUAGAGGAUUCAAACUGCUAACCUUGACAAGCUUAGGGUUGAGAUGUAGUUCCUUGUUGAUUGAUGAUAAUAUUUGAUUAGCUAAAGCAGCACCAGGUGCGUCCUGGUUAUCAAGAAGGCUAUAAAUGAUCUAAUCUCUCUUGUAUCUGUAACCGAGCCAAGGAAAUCCAUCAUAGCAUCUAUAUCAAUUAGUUUUUUCAGAUUGCCUAAUGAGUUUAAACAUUUCUGUAUUUUUAACAGUGAAGUGCAUCAUUCUUCCUUCUAAGCGUAUAGAGCUUUUUUCUUACCCACAAGAUAAAUGCUGGAAUUGAAAUACAAAUGUUUUUCAUUUGUCUUUGUAGCUUCUCUUCUUUCUAACUUGUGAGGGUGGAUUUUCCAGUCUUCUAGGCAAUACCUACAGCAACUGUAAAAUUAUUAAAAAUGUUCAGUUAGUUGAGCCAGUAUAUCAACUUUCUAGUUCCUGACAGUUUGUCCUUCAGCUAAUGAUCCAAGUAUUUCUUUUGGCUUAUAUUGAGCUAGGUGGCUUUAGGUCUUUAUUUGUUCGGUUAAUUAUUGUAAAUGUUUCAAAGUGCCUCUGUGGGGUAUAUAGCAUGUCCUCUUGUGUGAUGCCAAUUCCUAUCCAAUGGGUAGGUUCAUAAAAGAGCAGCCUACGCUGGGCUUCGAGGGAAGAAGAAAUCUACGGGACAUUGUUUGAUUGCUUCUAUAACUCCUUUUCAUUCUGUUAUCCUGAAAACCCGUGGCAGAUUGUCAUCGAACUUCUUUUAUGGAAGUUCAAGCAAGACAUUGUGUGCUUAUCAUCAAAACUCCACUCUACUAUCCUCCUCCUUGGUUCAGGUGCGCACAUAUAUUCAAGUCUAAUUUUCUCUCUUUACAAAGUUAAUAAGCUCCAUAUUAUUUUUUUACUUAAAAGAAUAAUAAAAAAUGCUCCCUAAUAUUUAUAAGCCUUUGUAUUUAAACAGUGUUUCUCCCAUGAUGAAAUGGACUGAUAACCAUUACAGAACUUUGGCCCGUCUCAUCUCAAAGAAGACGUGGCUCUACACAGAAAUGCUUGCUGCCGAAACAAUUUUCUUACCAGUUUGGCAAUUUGGUAAAGUUCUGCUGCAUGGAAUAAGAUUCUAGUGCUUUUCUACCCAACUAUAAAGUACCUUUUUGUUUCUUACUGAUAAGUAGAGCUUAGCAAAAAGAAGAGAAUCAUGCAAGUUAAUCCUUUGUUCUUAUUCUAGACAAAAAGAAAUGAACAUUUACUGGGCUAUAUAGUAUGUAAAGGCUCACAAUUACAGAAGAUUCAAACUCGCCUAUGAUAAAUUAAAUGAACUGUACCGGUUAAUUUUUUCACUGAAUGUGCGUAAAUCAAAAUAUCCUAUGAUUUUAUUUUUCCCAUUUGUUUCAAGUCAUGCGAUGGCAAGUGUUACUUUCUUUAAUGUUGAUCCUCUUGCUGCCAGCCCCAAUUUUCAUGAUAAAAGGAAAUAGUGGAUGUAUGUCUCUGUGGUUAUAUGCCUACUUUCUACAUGAUCUAAACUGACCUUCUACAAAGAGAAGCUUACAGUUAACACUUCUAUAGAUGGCACCUGACACUUGAAUUUGAUAUUCUAAAUCGAUGAAUCAUACUGUUUUUAUAUCAAUUACUAUAGACUCUUUGGGUUGUCUUUCAAGGGUCGAGUUAACCAAAUUGGUUGGUUAUUUUCAUUUUCCUAAACUAAGACCCUUGUCCCAGUUAGAUGGUUUCCUAGAAAAGGAAUAUUUAUUCCGCUGGUGUAAAAUACUUGGCAAAGAAGGGGACCUAGAUGAUGUAUUAUUGUAACCUGGGUAGAUCUACAAAAGGAUCUGCACCCAAUGGUGUGACCUAGUGGUCAAAGAAGCGGUUGAGAACCCUGAGGUAUCAUAUUCAAAACUUAGUGAAGACAAGAAAAAUUAGGUGAUCCUUCCCAUCUGUUCUAGCCUUGGUGGAUAGAGUUACCUGUUGCUGGUGAGAGGUGGCAGGUAUCCCGUUGAAUUAGUCGAGGUCCGCGAAAGCUGGUACGAACACCACGGUCACCAAAAAAUAAGAAGAAAAAAAAUUCUCCAAAAGGAACUUUCUUGUACUGACAUGUUAUUGUGCUUGCAACUUGGACCUUUAAGAGAAGCUUGUCACUGACUAAUGCUUGUGUGGUUCUAUUGUGCAGUGAGUCUGAUAUUUAUGUGAUUUUUCUAAUAUACCGGGAUAGAUUCUAGGCAUAUAGCCUUGAGCAACAUCCUAAAGUGCUUCAAAUUAGGGAAAAUAAUUUUUUUUUUGAUAAGAUAAGUGGUAUUAAUAACAGCAUCAGGAAGAUGCAAAAUUUACCAGAUAUGGCAUUUGAGCUUACAAAAAAAUCUCUGGCUAACUAUACAAACUAUCUAAGCCAGAGCUAAUGAGUUAGUAAAAUCCUGAAGUUGUUCUGCAUUAACAGCAGGAUACAAGUUGGUCCAACUAAACAAAUUUUCAGUGCACCUAGUCUUCAAACUGCCUAAAGCAGUUGACUCUUCAUCAAAACAUCUCUUGUUCCUCUCUAACCAAAUACACCAAAAAAUACAAGCAGAUAUCAUAAUCCAGAUCUUAUUGAUGGCUUUGUCAACUUUCCAUAGACUCCAACUCUCAUAUGCAUCCUUAACAGUGAGGGGUCUAUCCAGGUAAAAAAAACCUACCUUAGGUGGUAGCUUGGUCCUCCAAAUGAGUUUCCAGGGCCAGUUAGCUAUCACGGGGUUUCUAGAGCACAACUGUUGAUACCCUUCCUUUACUGUAUAAACUCCUUUCUGGUGUCCCCAUUUGAGCUUAUCAGCUGCCUGGAGAUUAAUGUGACAAUGUUGUAGUCUAGCAAAAAGGUCUACCAGAUCAUUCACUUCCCAAUCAUGCAUAUUCCUUCUAAAUCUCAGAUCCCAAUUGAUCCCUUCUCUAUUAGCAGCAAUAACAGAAUUGGGAUCUUGAGCAAUUCUAAACAGAUCUGGGAAAUCCUCCUGAAGAGUGGUAUUUCCAAGCCAUUUUGUCUGUCCAAAAUUUUAGGAGUAAACCAUUGCCCAAUUCAAAGUAAGCGUUCUGAUCAAAUGUAUCCCACAACAUCCUAAUACUCUUCCACAAUCCCACUCCGUAAGGAAGUGUAGUAAUAUUUAAGCAUCAUUGAAAAUAAUUUGUAGAUCUUGGCCAAAUCGACACAACUAAUUUUAAGUUCAUUCUGCUUUUCCUAUCUAAAAUAUACAUUUCUAGCUUUUAUUCAGACCCAAAACUGAUACUUUUUCUCUAUUAUAUAACAGUUGUGGAUGUCCUAGCCCCAGAGUAGCUUGACAUGGGUGUUUUGGUGUGUGCCUCAUGCUUGAUCCAAAGGUUCAUAUUUGUUUGCUUGAUAAAUUAAAUAAAUUAUUUAUCUGUAUACUUGCUCUGAUAUAUGCACAACUUCUACAAGGAAAGUUUGUUGCUGAGGCAAUGUGCGUAAUCGCUGCAAAUAUAAAUGUUCCCAUGAGUGUCAAAUGCAGAAUUGGACUUGAUGAUCAUGAUUCAUACUAUGAACUAUGUAAGCUAUUCAAACUUUCCCUUCCUCACUGGAAAUGAGCAUCAAAAUUCAAUUCUUCAAUGAUCAAUCUCUUGAUUUUUACUUGUUCCUUUCUUUUAUCCUGUAAGUUACAGCUCCAUUUUUAUGUCCUGGCCUUGCUUCAAGAAAAUCAACAAAAAAUGGAGCUCUAGUUUCUUUAUAAUAUAUUUCCAAGCAGGACUUUGCUGACAUUGUUACUGCUUGGACUUUGAAGUAGAUCUUAGACAGCUGACAAUAACUCGUAACUAUGAAAUAGAAACAAAUUCAUGACCACUUAACUCAGAGCAGAAGCCAUAUCCCAAAAAACCCAAAAAUUGGUGGGAACUUGAAAAUAUUUAAAAAUCAGAUUUUCUAAAUCUGAUCAAAUUUUAUGGUCAAAAUAAAUUUUGAAAAUCUACUCACAAUGACCAUAUGUAUUUUUCUGAAAGUUUAUCUUCUCUUAUUAAAUGUUUUUCCUUUUUUGGAUUUUUGACCUUUUUACACUACUAUACAAACAAUCAUGGAUUCUAUCAACAUUUUGAAAACUUCAAUGGGCCAAAUGUAAAUCUUGCCUCACCUUAUAAACAAACUUGUGUAACCCCAAACACCCACACAAACCACAAUCAAAAGUCACGCCCCCUCCACUUCCUCUCUUUCUCUCUCUUUUCCCCCAAAGGGCUUUUCCCAAUUUGAACUCUUCAAAAGUUGCUCAUACACCAAAAUCUUUAUCUCGUGUAUGGCGUUUCACACAGCUUGCCCAUUUACCUGGUACUACAUUCUUUUAUUUUUGUAUUAUUUGUUUAUAAUUUUGUUUAUUUUCUCUCUUUCUCUUUUUAUUAUCUACUCUCUCUUAUCUAGGCCAAGGAUGCCAAAUGGGUUUCAUUGUUCUAUGGUUUCAAGUUGUUUACUGGGGUUAUUCUUAUAAACCAUCCAGCGUUUUUGGGUGUGGGGUUUGGCUAUUUUUUGGUAGCUGGAGGAUCUGCUAUCUCUCUCUCUCUCUCUCUUUAUGGAUGGAUGCGAAAUCGGUUUCUUGGUUUUGUGUUUUGUUGUUUGCUUUGGAAUUUCUGACCCAGUUGAGUGUUUUUGCGUUUGUUGGUGCAGUCGAAAGAUCUGCUUCUGCCCAGAGGGGUUCCCAAAGGGUAAAAAUGAGUUCUUGGAUGUGACUAAAUUUGAGGAGUUUCUCAAGGACCCAUGGGGUCUUAAGGCCAAACAACCUGCUACAUGUCAGGUUAAGGUGCCCAAGCUUCGCGUUGCGUCACCCCCACAGGUGCCUGUAGGUGAUGGGGGUGGCAGCAGCGGCGGGGAUGGUGAGGAGGCAGCUUCUAUUGCUUCAGCUCAGACUAAGCGUGCUGCUUUGCAGAAGAAAGCUGCUGCUGCAUCUAAUGUGGCUGAGGAUUUCGCUAGAGGAUUUCAGUCUGGAGAUGUGGAGGUUAGGAACUGCAGUUUUAAAUUAUUACACGAAAGUAUUCAAUUUUUUUAUUUACAAAUAAAUAUCUGCCCUCAGGGCUCCAUGAAAGAUGUCGGUGGAGAAGAGCAAGGUCUAUCAAAUGUCAAAGUGAUGUGUAGGCUAUGCUUUUCCUGUGAAAAUGAAGGAGGUGAAAGAGCAAGGAAAAUGAUGUCAUGCAAUUGUUGUGGGAAGAAGUGUCACCUAAGCUGCCUGAAAACUUGGGGUCAACAUAGAGGUACUCUUAUGGGCCACAAGAUUUGUCAGUUUUUAGUGUUAUGCUUUUGCUAAUAUGCCCCUUCCUACAGAUCUCUUCCAUUGGAGUUCAUGGACAUGUCCCUCUUGCCGGCUUUGUGAGGUAAACAUUUUGAUUCUUUUCAAUAAAAUAAUGAAACAUAGUUGGUUUUGCUUUUUAAUAACUUCCCAUAAUGUGGCAAUUCUACCAUGAGUUGUUUUUUUUUCUUUUUUUGUGAAUAAGGUCAAAGCUAAUUCGACAAAACAUUGACUUUUAUUACCUAACAAAACGGAAAAAAUAAAUUUAUAUGAGAUAUCAACUGAUGUCCUAAUUUUCUUUGCUAGCCAUAUGCAACAACCUGAGGUUUUCAUAUUUACGCAUUUUAGGUUCUAACCUGUUGCCUAGCCCUAUGAGAGGUCACUCAUGUCAGUUUUGACACACAAAUCUUGGGUAAGGUACAUUGAUUGAAAAUAAAAGAUCCUGACUUGGGUCGGUGUCUUAACUAUAGAAAGAGGUUUUUUCAACUUCUCUAUGUGUCUGCAUGGACAGUCAAUUCAGAAACAAAGAUAUUGCUUUUUAGUCAAUGCUUUUAAAUGGAUCCCUCCGUAUGUGUAUGGUGUAUGACAGUCAAUGGAGAUGGCAAAACAGGUGGAAUUUGACCCAUGGCCCCACUUAUAUGCAAACCCAUUAGUCACUAAUCAUACACUUGCCAUAUCAACUACCUUUUGUCCUGUAAGAAACAGGGAAGACUACUUUCCUCUGGAUCAAGUGGACCCAACUCUAGUAUCCACCAUGUCAAAGCCAAAUAAGCUGCAAGCAAUAAUAGCUUAUAAUGAUAAACCCACGUUGAAACCUCAAUCCCUGGUUGUACGAAGCUAUUUAAUGAACGCAAGUGUUUUCUUGGCUUGGUAACAGAGUUACCUGGUAAGUGUGCUGGUGGAAGGUACCUAGUGAAAUAGUUGAAGUGCUCACAAGUUGGUUAAGGCGCCACAGUUAUUUAAAAAGAAGUUAUUUAAUGUUAAAUAAGUCACUAUAGUUCCAUCACUUCCAUGUUUUUCUUUUUAUGGUGUAAAGUUUGUCAUGUUCAGUUUGCAAUGUGUUACUGAAUCAGAUUACAUUUUCUUCUUGGUUUUUGUUUCCCUCUCUGUUUUUUUUUUAUAACCGAGAAAUCCAUAUGUGACCCGUCCUUUGGACCAAUCACAACCUUCUAAACUCGGUGGAUAAUGAACCCGCCCCUCUACCCUUCUCCACCUAAAUACUGGGCUUCGCUUUGCAUGGUAUGGGGCUUGAACCUGCGACCUAAGCCACAAAUCCUCCACCUUUUGCCACUCGAGCUAGGCCUUCAGGGCAUUUUCCUCUCUCUCUGUUUCUCCAGCUUGCUUUUUCAGUCAUUUGUGCUUUUGUCCUAGUGUUCUUUGGUGACUUCAAUUUUAUUUUUUUGUUUGAGGAAGACUUUGAUUAUAGUUUUUGUUUCACAUUAAACCUUCACAUUGUUUGGAAUGAGAUAGUUGAAUCCGUCUAACCAAUGGUUAACCAAGCCAAAUCAAACAAAGGUUUAUAACCAACUAACUGUUAACCUUUAUCCCUUCCUUUGUUACUCCCUCCGUGGCACCACGAGACUUGCUUCUAGGUUUUACUGUGGAGGUUUCUUGGGGGCAUAGAAAAAUAGCCUUGUAGGUUGGAAUAUUGGUAGGAUUUGAGCAGUACGUUAAAAAUGAAAAUUGCAAAUAAGCAAUAAGGUCUUCAAAGCUUUAAUCAAAAGCAAUAAGCAGCGUUCGAUUCAUCAGACAUAUGAAAUCGCCUAAAUAUAUGAAUUUUGUACUUAUAAGAUCAAGUAGCGAUUAACAUUAUUAUUUUUAGUACCUGUUAUACAAUAAUGACAAUUUGUAGAUUCUAUACCUAAAAUGAAAUAGAAUGAAAAUAAGUUUAAACAAGGUCACAGAAUAAUGAUGGUCAAUAGCAACAUUGGUUUUAGAUUCUCAAUAAAUUGACUAUAAAAGUAAUUAGUUUGCAGCAUUUAAUUUCAUAUUAAAUUGUUUUAGUAACUAUACAUAGAGUUGAAAGAGAAGCAAAAAGAAGCUCAAACUCAGCAGUAGUUUAAGAUGGGGACUUGCAUACAAAGAAAGUGUCAUCUUUGAAGAAGAAAAAGAAAAAGAAAUUUUAAGGAAACACAGAAUCCUAGCCUUACUACGUAGAAAAGUCAAUCCAUUGAUUAUUUCGAUGUUUGGAAGUGGGGUUUGGAAAUAAUGGAAUGUUCUCUGUGAAGUCUUUUUAUGAGAAACUAUUGGUUAUGGAGGAGAUGACUUUUCCAUGUUAUGCAAUAUGGAUCUCAAGGGUGCCCAGGAAGGUGUGCGUUGUCUUUCAUUAGUUGGUGUUACAUGUGUAAGGAGGCAGGUGAGGAUGUGGAUCAUCUUUUCUUACAUUGCAAGCUAACCAUGAGGCUAUGGUGGGAUAUGUUGGGUGGUUGAGCACUCCGUGAGCAUUGCCAAAAACUGUGAAAGAUUUGAUGUUCAGUUGGAAGAGCACAGAAGGAAAAGAAGACGAAGGGCUUAGAACGUGGUUCCACUUGCUUUAAUGUGGGUAGUCUUGAGAGAGAGAGAGAGAGAUGAGAGAUCUUUUGAAGGUGUAGAGUCGAGUUUCUCUCCAUUAAGGAGUAGUCUCAGUUCCCUUAUUUUCUUUUGGUGUGAACAGAAAGUCCCUUGUUUUGACUCCCUCCGUCCCAUUUUUUUAUGAAUUAGUUUGACUCGACAUAGAGUUAAAGAAAGAAAGGAAGACUUUUAAAAUUUGUGGUCUAAAAUAAGUGAUAGAUAUUUGUGUCGCUGUAAAUCAUUUCAUUAAGGGUAAAAUGAGCAUUUUAAUGUGAAAUUGUUACUUGAUGUAGAAAUGUGUCAUUCUUUUUGGGUCCGAUUUAAAAGGAAAGUAAAUUAUAUAAGCUGGGACGGAGGGAGUAAAUGAGAGGGUGGAGUUUGUAAAGAAUCAUAUCCUUUUGUAGAAUAUCUUUUGAUAUAUUCCUUGUAUACGGAUAACUUAGCCAGGUUUAUGAAUGAAAAUACAUUUACUUGAUUAAAAAAAUACAGAAAAACAAUAGCAAAAGUAGAAGCGUUAAAAACUUGAAAUAAAAAGAAAAAUUAAUUGUAGAGAGGAGUACUAGUACCCAUAUAUCCAAAAAUAAUAAAAACCUACCCUUUUUACUCCCUUUUCCCUAUCUUUUCCGUAUUUUGAAGUUUUCAAAUACAUUUUCCGUGCUUCGUUGAAAAAUAUUUCUGUCUCACCUUGUCUGUGCCAAGUUUUCCCAAAGCGUGCACAUCACAGGUGCAGCAAUAACCCCUAACUUGGCAUCACUAGCUUGCAUCAAAACUGGAUUUGGGGAUGUGAAAGGUUUUUGACAUAUUGAAGGAAGAAGUGGUAGAAGGUGCCGGAAGGAUGGUGCUCAUGGAAUUGUUAAUUUUAUUGUCUGAGUGACUGCAAGGACUGGAUUGGCUUAUAUCACACAAAUUGAAGGUGUUGCUGCAUGUGUUGCAUGGGCAGGAAAUGAGUUUAUUGGUUGGGUAUAGUGGUAUUUUAUCAGGAUGUGGGAAAUUUUUGUGAUGGUUUGGAGGGAAAGGGUGGUAGAGGCUGGAAGAUGACAAUAUCAGUAAAUAAGGACUAGAUUUGCUCUCACAAAGACUGGAGUUUAUGUGCUGAUGAGAUAUACACAAGGAUGAAUGGAGUUUAACCUAUUGUCUUUCUUUUCUAUUUGAGUGGCUCAUGGUCAGGGAUGUCACUGAUAAUGGCUUUUUAUAUGCUCCUGUUAAUUGCUAGGUAGGCUGCUAAUCUAUUUGAGGCAGCAUCACAUGAAGCGCAGUUUCUACUCAAAUAUUGAUUAUCAAACAUAUUAGUUUGAAAAGAUCUCUUCAAGUAUGAAAUAUCUCUAAAAAAACUAUUGGAAGUGUCCCUAUCGAGUAGGAUUAUACAUGAAACUAUUUUGGCCGCUUUUUGUUUGUUUUAAUCUUUUGUAUAAAGCAACUCUUCUGUUUGAUAAUUGGACAUGCAUUCUGCAUCAUACACUAGUGAUUAAUGCAUUUUUAGCUAUUUGAUGUCUAUGUUAUUGUUCAACUCAUGUUCUUAUGCUUACUAUAUUGUUCAUAUAUACUUACUGUAUGUAUGCUCCUUUUUUGGUGUAGGGCUGUCAAACAACUGGAGAUCCAAACAAGUUCAUGUAUUGCAAAAGGUGCGAUGCAGCUUAUCACUGUCACUGUAUGCAGCCUCCACACAAGGUGGAUUAUCGUGUCUUACUCUUCCAGUUCUGUAUAAUGAUAAAAGUCGAUUGUACUUAGUUGUUUUUGGGAUGUGCAGAACGUUAGCAGUGGGCCUUAUUUGUGCCCCAAACACACAAAGUGUCACAGCUGUUGUUCUAGUAUUCCAGGAAACGGACUGAGCGUGAGGUAUGUAGUAUGGGGCCAUGUGCAGCUAGUGGACAUUCUCUUGGAUUCACGUUUUGCUGGAAAUGUUAAUUGAACAGUCUAAUUAACUCCAUUUUAGUUAAACUGCUUAUUCAUGUACUUCUCUAUGUCAUUUUUUCUGUAUCUUCACAGAGGAGCAUCAUGUAGGAGUUCCAUUUAUGUUAUAUAUUGUGAUAAGGGCUAUGAAAGCAAUUUAAAUCAGUUCUCUAGUUUUGGGCUUGCCCGUAGCACAUUUAAUAUUCCGCACUAAUAUCUUAUAGAGAUUUUAAAAUACAAAUAUUGCAAUAGUAGCGUCAGAUAAUGUUGUGUGCUGCAUGUGAUAUAUGAAAAUCAUUUAAGGCAUUGCAUAUCCUAUGAAAAUCAUUUAAGGCAUUGCAUAUCCUAUGAAAAUCAUUUAAGGCAUUGCAUAUCCUAUGAAAAUCAUUCAAGGCAUUGUAUAUCCUAUUGCCUCUGAACUAUUGAUAUCUUGAUCUAUGGCAGGUGGUUUCUAGGAUACACUUGUUGUGAUGCUUGUGGAAGAUUAUUUAUGAAGAGAAAGUACUGUCAAGUUUGUUUGAAGGUAGAUAUUUUGGCAGUUAUUAUUAUUUGAGCUUUUCUUUGUUUAAUCUUACAAUGAGUUCUUUUUACCAUGGUGGUUUAUCAAUGUGAAGUUGCUAAUUUGUCGGCUAUGAUUACUGGAUGCCUUGGCUUUCAUUGCCUUUCCAAAACAACUGAGUGUUUUUCUUUCCAUAGAUCUAUGGGAAAUGCAAUUAAUUGUUUUUUAUAAUGUAGGUUUAUCGAGAUUCUGAAACAACACCUAUGGUUUGCUGUGACAUUUGUGAGCGCUGGGUGCACAGCCAAUGUGAUGGCAUCAGGUUUACCUUAUAUAUUGCUUUUAAGAUUAUUAAUUUAUUGGUUUUGCUUUGGCACCUUUCUUAUGAAGUGCAAUUUUAUUUCUUAACACCGAGCUGAUGUGGAUGUGCAUUAGGUUAGACUUUUCUGUUCUGGAAUUAAAUAUCCGAAAUUUAUUAUUGACAGCUUCCUAUACCUUUUGUGGUGUUCUUGCAGCAGAUUUUGCUAUGUUAAAAUGUGGAAAGUGUUACCAAGAAUAGUGUCAUCAUUCUCCUUCUCCUUUGAUUGUUUCAUUGAAUAAUUGAAUGGUAUUUUUGGGAUUGCUGUUUAUGCUUCAUUAAGCAUUAUUAAGAGUUUUAAUGUAAAUUUUCUAGAGGUAAGAAAGCUCUGCAGUCUCGGGCUUCUACUGGUUGUAACCCAGAAUAGAUGACAUAGCAUAUACGAGAAUGACAAUUCUUUUGUGUAUUGAUUUAUUGACAUUGGUAUGUUGAUGUGAUUGUAUGAAUGAUUUUGCUUCACGGACUAAGCUAAAACAGCAUGAAUGAAUGAAAAAGGAAAAAGAAAAUUACUGUUGGGUGGUUUUUGUAAUUUUCUGCAACGAUAGUGGAAAAAUAUGGCCAAUUUUGGGGAAUGCAUUUGACUAUCAUAUUAUAUGUGACCAUCAUCAAUGGGUAAAAAUCAAAUUCUUUGAAGAUGAUAAGGAAAAAACUCAUGAUGUCUAAAAAGCUGUUUGGCACAUUUUUUUUGGUGGAUACAAAACUUUUCCAAGGAAGUAAAGGGAACUUCCAGCUAUUUAAAUAUUAAACGUGAAAAGUUCCCUUUAACCUGUGUUUUGGAUGCUGAAAGGAGACAAGGGUCUGCCUUGUCAAUUGAGACGCCAAUUAAUAUCAAAAACUCUUUCCUAAAAAAAACCAAAAACUUAAAAUAUUUAAUUGCAUAUAUACAUAUCUAAAAUCUCAACAGCAAUAACAUAUUAACAAAAAUUUCAAUUCAAAAACUAAUAGUAGAUACUAAAAGAUUAGAACUUGAAUGACUCAAUAAUUCACAAGACAAUUGACAAGAAAUACUAGAACUACAAAAACAAUAGAGACUGCACAUUGUUGAGUGCUAACAGAGAUAAAAAAAAAAACAAAGCAUGAAAGAAGAAGAGAAGAAGAAGAGAAAAAGAAGAAAAAGUGUUGGAAACGUACCUACUGAGGUCACGAAGCAGAGGAUUGAAGGAGAAAGAAGAAGAGAUAUGUUGAUGGUCGCGACUACGAUGAACUGGAGAGAAAAAAGGGAGAAGAGAGUCGUGUUUGUCCAAAACAUCAAAUAAACCCUAAUAUUGCCUUUUAAUUAUUAAAUUAAGCAUGUUUUUUUUUUUAAAAAGGUGACACCUUUGUCACCAGGCGACUCGCCGUUUGUUUUCUUUUUGAUAUCACCCCGCCUCGCUAGUAAUAGGCAACAAGGCCUUGCCUCACCUCUUGCCUAAGGCGAUAAGGCACUCGCCUUUCACAACCCUACCUUCAAAUAUUUAGGAUGUGUACCUUUUUGAAUUGUAUCAAGGGGGAAGUUUGAUCUAUUAAAGAGGUACCUAGCAUUUCAUCAAUAUGAAAGAGGGAAGCUUCAACGUUGUACCUAUACAAUUAAGGUCUUCCGAUGGAUAAGCUUCAGUGGACAAGGUAGGCGGCUAAUCGGAAUUCAUUUUCAGAGCUAAGUCUCAAGGAGGCAGGUUGGACCUAGUACGAGAGGAAUCGUUGAUUGACACAAUUGGUCAUCGCGCUUUGGUAAAAAGCAAGUGGUGCGAAGCCACCAUGUUAUGACUGAAUGUCUUUACCUUUCAACUAUUUAGGAUGUGUCCUAUUUUGGUAGGAAAAAGAUAGAACUACUUCACAUAUAUGGCAAUUGAAUUCAUUAAAAGGAUUAAUGGUUUGCAAGGAAAAUUGUUAUUCCUUGGUGGUUACGAGCCUUUCAAGAUUUUGAUUAACUAAUGACAGAUCAUUUCAAACGAGGACAUACAAUCGACAUUUAUGAACAUUGCCUAGCAUAAUUUGUUGAUAAUUGUGGAGGAACCAAGACUUGCAAAUCUUAAGUUAAAUAGAACUUCCUCUGUUUCAAUUUAUGUGGCACACUUACCUUUUCAGUUUUUUCCUUAAAAGCAUGUCACGUUUUUAUAAUUGGAAAUAAUUUAACUUUAAGACUUUCCCUUUUACCCUUAAUGAAAUGAUUUAUAGCCACAAAUUUCAAGUCUUCCUUUCUUUCUUAAAAUUUGUGUCAAGUUUAACGAUGCCACAUAAAUUGAAAUGGAUGUAGUAAUAAUGUUGAGGAUAGAGGGAGUAAUUGUUUGUAGAGAAAAGUUGUAAGUGAUCUCACGUGGUUGUCCAAAAAGUUAUUUACACACAUUAACUUUACGGGUGAUCGAAUACUCCCAACUCUUGCUUGAAGUGUAACUAAUACCCUGAAAAGGUUUCAUGUGAUAUGCCAAAGAUAGCUAAGUUGCUCAGGCUCGAGUGCGGAUCCUCUCUAAAUUUUAAGAAUCGGGGAUACAGAUCAGUCUAUGAAUACAGGUCGGGGAUUCGACUAAAAAUAAUUCAAAUGUCUAAAAAUAGAGAUAUAAAACCUUAAUUAUGAGAUAUGAUGUGGAUAACUUGAGGAGAAAAUUAUUGACUAAUAGGAGAAUCAUGGAAGAAUAUAAAAGAAAAGGCAGUGACCAUAGAAAUUUAUAUAUAUAUAUAUAUAUAUAUANNNNNNNNNNNNNNNNNNNNNNNNNNNNNNNNNNNNNNNNNNNNNNNNNNNNNNNNNNNNNNNNNNNNNNNNNNNNNNNNNNNNNNNNNNNNNNNNNNNNNNNNNNNNNNNNNNNNNNNNNNNNNNNNNNNNNNNNNNNNNNNNNNNNNNNNNNNNNNNNNNNNNNNNNNNNNNNNNNNNNNNNNNNNNNNNNNNNNNNNNNNNNNNNNNNNNNNNNNNNNNNNNNNNNNNNNNNNNNNNNNNNNNNNNNNNNNNNNNNNNNNNNNNNNNNNNNNNNNNNNNNNNNNNNNNNNNNNNNNNNNNNNNNNNNNNNNNNNNNNNNNNNNNNNNNNNNNNNNNNNNNNNNNNNNNNNNNNNNNNNNNNNNNNNNNNNNNNNNNNNNNNNNNNNNNNNNNNNNNNNNNNNNNNNNNNNNNNNNNNNNNNNNNNNNNNNNNNNNNNNNNNNNNNNNNNNNNNNNNNNNNNNNNNNNNNNNNNNNNNNNNNNNNNNNNNNNNNNNNNNNNNNNNNNNNNNNNNNNNNNNNNNNNNNNNNNNNNNNNNNNNNNNNNNNNNNNNNNNNNNNNNNNNNNNNNNNNNNNNNNNNNNNNNNNNNNNNNNNNNNNNNNNNNNNNNNNNNNNNNNNNNNNNNNNNNNNNNNNNNNNNNNNNNNNNNNNNNNNNNNNNNNNNNNNNNNNNNNNNNNNNNNNNNNNNNNNNNNNNNNNNNNNNNNNNNNNNNNNNNNNNNNNNNNNNNNNNNNNNNNNNNNNNNNNNNNNNNNNNNNNNNNNNNNNNNNNNNNNNNNNNNNNNNNNNNNNNNNNNNNNNNNNNNNNNNNNNNNNNNNNNNNNNNNNNNNNNNNNNNNNNNNNNNNNNNNNNNNNNNNNNNNNNNNNNNNNNNNNNNNNNNNNNNNNNNNNNNNNNNNNNNNNNNNNNNNNNNNNNNNNNNNNNNNNNNNNNNNNNNNNNNNNNNNNNNNNNNNNNNNNNNNNNNNNNNNNNNNNNNNNNNNNAAAUAUAUAUAUAUAUAUAUAUAUAUAUAUAUAUAUAUAAGGUAUUCCAUUUCUUUAAUUUCACCUUAGUUUUAAGUUUUGAUUUUAGAAAUCAUUGACUGUCCAAAAUUUCUCCCUCAAAUUUGGUCAAAGUACCCAAAAUCGGUUGACCGAUUGGUACGGAUCCCACACCUACACCUACACCUACACCUACACCCACAUCGUAUCAACACGAGUGCGGCACCGAAAAUGAAGAGUUCGAGCAACUUAGAAAGAAAAGUAUUACCAACUUAUAGAAAGUGCGUGAGAAGAGGGAAAAACACAAUAAACAAUUCUAAGAUUACAUGUGCCUUUUUCUAAUUGGUUGAUAUAUAAUUAGUUAUACAAGUUUAAUAUUUUCUUUAACAACAUACCUAGUGUAAUCCCACAAGUAAGGAUUGAAAAGGGUAGAGUGUAUACAACCUUACCCUUACCUUAUCAUGGUAGAGAGAUUGUUUCUGAUAGAUCCUCAAUUCAAGUAAAGCAUAUUAAAUCAGGUAUGAAAGUAAUGGAGAAAGAAGUAGUUAUAUAUUCCUUAAUUUAUAUAAAUGUUUGUAGGGGAACUCGUGGUGUUUUAAAAAAGUUAUUUACAUACCUUAACUUUACAGCAACCUAAUACUCCCUAUUCUUGAUUGAAGUGGAACUAAGAUCUCCCCAAAAGGUGAUGUGGCAAAGAAAGUGUUACCGACUUCUUGGAAGUGCGUGAGAAGAGGAGAAAACACUAUAAAUGGUUCCAACAAUACAUUUGUCAUCUUCUAAUUGAUUGUUUUAUAAUUAAUUGUACUUAAUUAAUAUAUUCCUUAAAAUAUAACAACAAUAUACACAUUUUAAUCUCACAAGUGGGUUUGAAGAGAGUAUUGUGUAUGUAUCUUAACCUACAUUAUGAAGGUAGAUUGGCGGAUUCUAAUAGACCCUCAGUUCAAGUAAAGCACAUCAAAUCAUAUAUCAAAAUAAUGGAGAAAGAACUAGUUAUAUACUCCUUAAUUAUAUAAUAUAAUUGUUUGUAGGGGAAGUCAUAAGUUACGUCCCAUGGUUGUUCAAAAACGACAUCUGCACACCUUAACUUUACAGACGACCUUAUAUUCCCCACUUUUGUUUAAAGUAGAACGUUCCCUAAAAGGUGAGUUAGGCCCAAGACUUAACUUUACGUAGUAUCACGGUAAAACCAAUCUCACUCAAUGUUGACCCUUAAAUUAAAAUUUCCCCACUCACUACAUGUUCAACGCUAGGCAUGAAGAAUGAAAAACUUCCCACAUCGGUGGUUAAUGUAAUGGGUGGUCUACUUAUAAGGCUUGGACAAUCCUCUUAAGCUAGCUUUUGGGGUAUGAGUUAGGCCCAAGACCUAACUUUACAGACAUAUAAUUUAGUAUACUUGAUUGAUAUAUUCCUUAAUUUAAUAAUUGGUUGUUGGGAAAAGUCACAAGUUACAUCUUGUGGUUGUCCAAAGAAGUUAUUUACACACUUAAAAUUUACGUGCAACCUUUGCUCCCUACUUUCUUUUGAAAUGGAACUAAUAUCCUUCUAAAAGGAGAUGUGACAAAGAAAGUGUAACCAACUUCUUGAGAGCACGUGAGAAGAGGAAAAAACACUAUAAAUGGUUCUAACAAUGCACAUGUCAUCUUCUAGUUGGUUGAAAUAUAAUUAAUUAUACUUAGUUAAUAUAGUCCUUGUUGAAUUGUGUUUUCUUAAUAUUCUCUUUAUUUGUUUCCUCUUUUUCUCUUUUCUUCGUUUUCUCUUUCUUUUCUUUUUCCCACUCCUUCAUUUUCUUGGUCAACUUUACUAGACCUGUGCCAUCUCCGCUAGUCUAAGUUGCUCGGACUCGGGUGUGGGUGUCCGAUAUGGGUGCGGAUCUAAAGGUCAGAUCCUUCAUGAUCUAAUUUUUAAGAUUCGGGGAUACAGAUCUGUGAGAAAUAUAGGAGAAAAAUAUUAUUGAAAUUGUUGUUGUUUAUAUAUUAUUACAUUGAGACCCUAUUUAUAGACACUACAAUACAAUCUUUUACCAAGUUGGAUAUUAUUUACUAUUCUUAUUUCUAUUUCUAUUCUAAAUAGGAUUGUAUAAACCUAUUCUUAUUCUAAUAGGAUUGCAUAAACUUAUUCAUGUUCUAACGCUCCCCCUCAAGCUAGUGCAUACAAUUCAUGUACCUAGCUUGUUACAAAUGUAAUUAAUACGAGGAUCGAUGAGGAGCAUGGUGAGAUAUCUGCAAGUUGAUCAAUCGACUUAACAAAAUUGACAGUCAAUCUCAAUGUGCUUGUCUUCUUAUUAAAUACUGGAUUUGAUGCAUACAGUCAGUCAAUCUCAAUCUCAAUGUGCUUAAUCUUUUCAUAAAAUAUUGAAUUUGAUGCAUAAUGCCGAUAAAACACAGAGUGAUAAAAUUACAGUGUUGAACUUCCCAAACCAAGCUUGCAAAGACUGUUUCAGACCAUAGAGUGACUUACGUAAUCGACAUACAAGAUUACUAAACUCCCCCCGAGCAACAGAAUUAAGUGGUUGCUCCAUAUAGACUUCUUCACAAUGCAGUGGUCGCUGAAAAGUGCUCAAAAUCUAGUACAAAGUAUAUGGAUCAUGUUGGAAUUAAAUAGAGGGGUCGAUAGUAAACAAGAAAGUAACUGAAAAACUAGCUGAAACAUGCUCAUAUGGCAGGGUAUUAGAUUUGAUGGCUAAAAGUGGUCACAAUCUAACAAAUAAUAUUAUAUGGGUAGGGUCGGAAUGAUGGCACGACCCAACUGAAAAAUAGAAAUAUAUAGGAGAUGUCAGAUUCACUGCACAAUCCUAUUGAAAAAGAGAAAUAAUAUGGGUAAUAGCCAUUUGCCGACAGCGGAAGCUCUUUGAUUCUCUACCAAGAUCGUAGAGACUCUGAUACCAUGUGAGAAAUAUAGGAGAAAAAUAUUAUUGAAAUUGUUGUUGUUUCUACAUUAUUACAUUGAGAACCAUGUUUAUAGACACUACAAUACAAUCUUUUACCAAGUAGGAUACUAUUUACUAUUCUUAUUUCAAUUUCUAUUCCUAUUCUAAUAGGAUUGUAUAAACCUAUUUCUAUUCUAAUAGGAUUGUAUAAACCUAUUCAUGUUCUAACAGGAUCCAUGUAUGGAUAAAGGUGCGGGGAUUCACCCAAAAAUUAACUAGAAUAUCUAAGAAUAGAGCUAUAAAACCUAAAUUAUGAGAUAUUAUGUGAAGAACUUAAUCCUAGAAGGAGAUCAAAGGAAAAGGAGUGACACAGAAAUUUCUAUAUAAAAGGUAUUCCAUUUCCUUCAAUUUCACCUUAGCUUUUGUAUUGAUUAUAGUAAUCGUUAAAAUUGUCCAGACUUCCCCCAUCGAUUUUGGUCAAAGUACCCAAAAUCGAUUGACCAAAUCACACCCACACCCACACCCACGUCAUGUCGACACGGGUGCGUCACCAAAAGUGAAGAGUCCAAGCAACUUAGUUGCUGGUCACUUCCCCGCACCAUUUUCUUUUCUUCUUUUGUCAUCUUUAAAUAAGUUUCUUUCUAGGGUUAGAUAUUAAUAAAAUGCUUAAAAGUUCAGAAGAUCUCUUCGACUAAAAAUUUGUUUGCCGGCCACCAUGUUUUCUGGCGAGGUAGGUAUUCUCUCUUCCUAAAAUAUUGUUCAAAACAAUUUUUUCAGAUCUUUACCUUGAAAAAUCGAAAACAAGAUUCAAAAGAAAUGAAAAAACAAUUUCAUCUUCGCUGGAAAAUUAAAAUUUGGUGAUCUUCUUUUUCGUCCUUUUUGGAGCUAUCUAUCUUAUCUCAGAACUACCUUGUUAAGAACUUUCAAUUAUGAGUCAUGGUGUUAUGUGUGGUGCAUCUCAUUAUUGAACUUCAAUGGGAGUUUCUCUUGAAGCAAUAAUGUGUUGAUCUAGACGCCACCAAAUCCACAAAGGACUAUCUAAAUUGAUUUGUUUCUGCCGAUUUUUCCUAAUUGUGCAACCCAAAGCUUCGAUGGAAAUUGAAAAUAGGGUGAAGUAGAAAAAGAAGUAAGAAGAAGGGGAAAAGUGGGAAAAAAAAACAAUGCCUAAUAAAUUGAAAAAAUUCCAAAUAUAUAUUAUACACGUGUCAGGCGUAUGUAUAAUAAACGUUUUUAUAUAAAUUUGGUAUUGUCUGGAGAAGGGGGUAAUAGUACCACUUAAAAUAAGAAUAAGGAGUAGGAGGUCACCCGGAAAGUAUCAGUGUGUAAAGGACUUGUGUUUUCUAAGAAAGCAAGCCUUUCAAGUAAGGCUUGAAAGAAGGCAGACGAUCCAAUCAGAUUAUAAAGAAGAUAGACGAGAAGAUAAGGGACGAAAGACUUUUUGAAAUUCGAUUGGUGUAAACAUGAUAUUAAUUAGUCUUUGUCCUUUUUUAAGAGUCUCCAGACGCUCCUUGUCCUAAGUCCCAUACAUCCGGUUACCUUUGCGGAUUUCCGCCGUCUGCUUUUGCGCUAUUGUUACUUACAACGUCUCUUCUCUUACGCAAUUACUGACUAGUUGUAGAACAACUAUAAGGGCAUUUCUACUUUGUAAUCAAAUAGUUUCCAAAUGUUGAUUUCAAACUACCACAGUUAAGCCAGAUGACAUAAUGUGUCGCCUUUGUUAGUCUUGCAUUGACUAGAUGAAUUGUUUUUUUGGAAAUUGGAAAGAGAUGGCAAAUGUACGGAUCAAUUAUAUUUGAAUCUUAUAUAGAGAGGUCUUUUAUUAUAUUUGAGUUUUUUUUUGGAGCAAUUCAGAAGAUUUACGUUUCUUUCUUAAAUGAAGAAUUUGAAAAAAUAUCCUCGAAUAGUUUUAUUGAAAUGAAUCUUUUUCCUGGAAUAGUUAUUGAAAUGAAUUAAUGAGUAAAUAUAAAAUUUAAUCGAACAAGAGAAACACUGAACUUAAGACUUUUUGCCCUUUCUUAAACUCGAAUUAAGGACAAUGUUUCCAAGAAUAAUCUCAUCAUUCCCCAUUGACUUUUAUUGUUUCAUUGAAUGAUUGAAUGACAUUUUUGGGACUGCUGUUUAUGCUGCAUUCUGCCUUGUUAAGAAUCGAGUCAGUUGACAGGGUGCUAGUUCUAAUUUCCAGAAAGUUCCUCUUGUUCUCUUCACUAUAUAAAUAUCCUGACAUAUUUGUGGUUUGCCAAUUUGUUCUCCUGUCAUUCAUGCGAUAUAAAGCUGUUAAAUUAUGUAACCUUGAUUGUACUUCCACUGAAGCUUUGAGAGAGGGGCUCCAUUGGAAAUUCUAAUUUGAAAAUGGGUAUUUGCUUUGCAGCGAUGAAAAAUAUUUGCAGUUUCAAGUGAAUGGAAAUUUGCCGUAUUCAUGUCCAAAAUGCCGCGGAUAUAGUUAUCAGGUGUGUUUAUGGCAGUGAUUAAUUUCACUAGAAAAGUUAAUCAAGGACUCUAUCCUGAUAAUUCUCUAUUGAUGUUCUCAGUCCAUAAAUCGUGAGAAUGCUGUUCAGGAGCUUUGGAGGAGGAGAGAUUUAGCUGAUAGGGAUUUAAUUGCAAGUUUGAGGGCAGGAGCUGGGUUGCCAGUUGAAGAUGAAAUGUUUUCUAUUUCACCCUUUUCAGAUGAUGAAGAUACUGCUCCUGUAGUAAAAAAUGAACAUAAAAAAUCCUUGAAAUUUUCUCGUAAAGGUUUAGUUGACAAAUCUCCCCAAAAGAGCAAGGACUAUGGAAAGAAAUCUGGUAAAGGGAAGGGGUUAACUGGACAAAAUGAAGGACAUCCAGAUGCUCCAUCUGGUGGAUAUAGUGCUGGUGAUGUCAAGAAUGAUGAAUUGCAGGCUUAUGGGGAACUAGAUAGCUUUUCUUCUCCUGCUGCUAGCUUGACAGAAGGUAUAUGUUCAUUUAAUAUGGCAGGGGUCAUAAAGCACAAAUUUAUAGAUGAGGUUGCUGGAAACACGGGUAAGAGGACAGUCCAAAGGAAAGGUAGCAAGCCUCAGCGUUUGGAUGGGGAUGAUGUUGGAAUUCAAACAAGCAUGCCAAAGACCUCCAAGGAGCCAAAAGGUGUUAUUCAUUUGGGCUCGCUGGAUAAAAAUAUAGCAGGUUCCCCGAAGUCCGAUGCUUCAAGCUGUCAGAAAGAGCAAGUUUUGACUACUUCACAUGGUAAUUUUUAUUUUAUAUUUGUAGUCUUCAGGUUCCUCUUUCUUUCCGUUUUCUUAUUUGGAUGAAUCUUGUUUAAACUAUGGCUUCUCCAUAGAGUUUGAUGACUGUAGAUAUGCUUUUCUACUAGCUUGCAUCACUUAUGACACAAAAGCUACGGUUUUCUAAAUUGUUAUCUCAUCCAGACAAAAGUUCCGCCGGUGAGAAAGAUGAUCUUAGUUUUCCUCUGUGCAUUUUUAUUUCUUCGAGAUUUUCAUCUAUGAUUGGUAAGGAAUUCAUAUACAAGUUUCCCCAGGUGUUAAAAGUGGUAAGAGAGCAUCGCAUGAUACGUGGAUUAAGAUCACGUCCCUGUGCUAACAAAAGCCUGAUAUUUAAGUGAAGAAGGGUAGAUGCACAUGCUCAUUAUCCCCACAGUUUUGAACCUUAUGUCAAUGGCCCUUGAGAAUUUCCCGGUUAUAAAGAAAGGACAUAUAAGUUGCCUAAGGGAUAUCAUAAAAUACCGUGAUUCUUGGGUUUCUUUUUGUUAGUAGAUGUCAUAACUCAUAAGUAUCUCUAAUAUUGGUUAUAAAGAAAGGACAUAUAAAUUGGCUAAGGAAUAUCAUAAAGUACCGUGAUUCUUGGGUUGCUUUUUUUUUUGUAGAAGUUAAAAGCAUCUAUUAUGUACGUUCUCGCAAUGCAUUUUCUUGUAGAUAAAAAACUAGCGUGGAAGUAAACUUAUGCUGCAUAUUUCUUCUCAUUUCCUUGGAUAAUUGGCUGCUUAUUUGGCAUAUUUGGAAUGUGUGCUUUGGUCAUCAUGUGAUCUGAUGUUUGUUCUUUUUUUUAUUUCUUCUUCAUGACUUAAGUUGAAAUUCUUUUGAAAAUAAAGCAAUGGGGGAUUUUAAGUUGUGUCCUCAAAGUUUAACAUAACAAUAUUAAUAUUAGUUAAACAAUGGUAAAAAUGUAAGCCAGUAGUUUAAAACAUUUUUCUUUUAAUGAUCUUGACAAAUCUUAAAAGAGUAGCACUAAUGUACAUCUUACUAACAGACUUCUUCCCUUUUCUCAAGACACUGAAUUUGUUGUCUUAAUGGAUACACUCUGGCAUAAAACAGAGGAGUUCUCUUUUUAUAAUUCAGAUUCUUUCCUCUGUCUGAAUACUUGCAGCUGAAGAGUCCGUAAAGCUGCUAAUGACUCACAAAAAAUUAGAAUUAAAAUAACCUUAAUGUAUUUAAGUUCAUGCUGCAUAUUAUUAUUGUUUUUUGAUGUUAACACCCACACCAACACACAGUGGUGUACGCAGGAUUUUUCGUAAGUGGUGUCACCUGUUAAAAUGAGAAAAUAAAUAAAAUAAUAUAAACCAUAUUUUUUUUAAAAACACACAAAUAAAACACAAUCCAUGUAUAUUUUUAUAUUCUUUUCUAAAAAUAUUAAAUAAAAAAUACAUUAUAUUUUUUUUCGAUGAGUUUUUUUUUUAUGAAAUGUACUCAAAUUAAUCUCCUUGAUAAUAUUAUUCUAAAUUUUUGUUUAUAAAAACAAAAUACCAAAUAAUUACUAAACAAAGAAGGUCAAAGAAAAACAAACAUACUAAAUAUUUGUUUAUACAAACAAAAUACAAAAUAAUUACUAAACAAAGAAGGUCAAAGAUUCCUAUCUGGCCAUGGAGACAAAUUUGGAAAGGCAGAAUUCCUUAUCAAGUCUCAUGUUUUAUAUGGCUGCUAGCUAAGGAAGCAGCUUUGACACAGGAUAAUGUUAUGAAAGGGGGAUAACCUUAUGUUCUAGGUGUUUCUUUGUGGAGAAACAUCAGAAACUGUUAUCCAUCUUUUUCUACACUGCAAAUUUACUCAACAAUUAUGGAGGGUAUUCUUGAGUCUCAAAAGGCAUAUCCUGGGCUAUGCCUAGGAGAAUUACUGAAGCCCUAAAAAGUUGGGAGAGGCAGGAGUGCUAGCUAAAGACAGAACGAGAUGGAGAAUUAUCCCUGCUUCAAUCUGGUGGGCAACCUGGAAAGAGAGAAAUUCUAGGUGUUUUGAGAGCGUAGAGAAUAGUAGGUAGAAAGUUAAACUCAACUGCAUUUUGUUGUUAUGUUUUUGGUGCAAUCAAUUAUACUCAAAUGAAACUGUCUCUAUAAUUGAUGUUCUAGAUUCAAUUUAGAUUUAGAAUAGUGGAUUUUGGAGUUCAUCUGUAUAUAAGGUUUAGUACUGCCCAUGUACGAUUGUGUUAUAAUACAAAGUUACCAAGUUUCAAAAAAAAAGAAGGUCAAAGAAAAAAAAACAUAAAAAAUGAGGCUAUGUAGGAUUGAACAUGCAACCUAGCCAAAGGAAUUUCAGCACAAAACCAACUAAGCUACGCGCUUCUAUUGUUCAAGCAGUGUCACUUUUAUUAUAUACACUAUAUAUUUGCUUUUGUUUCAUAAUUGUAUGCCUAUUUAGCAAUUUUUUCCGACGAAGAAGUGUCACGUGACACCCCUUCUCCCUUCCUAAAUCUGCCCCUGCCAACACACACCUACACUUAAAAAAUUUAGAAAAUUUGGUUGAAUUUGUAAAUCAAUGAGCUCAUUGUCGAAAUGGAUAGGCGGCAAUACUUCUGUUGUUCCCAAUUUAUUUUUUCAAAUUCGAUUUCUGGAUUCGCUAUUGCAUCUGUUGUUCCCUAAAUUCUUGCAAUUCAAUGUCUAAAUUGAUUGAUCAAGGAAGCAAAGUCUCUUGAGAUAGAGUAAUUAGCUUCAGUAUUCUAUACUUCUGUUCUUAUAUGGUGUAGAUCCUUUACUUUUUUGUAUACCUCUUGUAUAUGGGAGAUUUUCACGUUACUAAAAUUAUUUACCUUAUCAAAAUAUAUUAUUAUAUGUAAUUCUUUGUUUAUCAGGUUAUAAGGAUCUGGUUCAGCUCAGAGAGAAUGAGAACUCAGAGAGGAAUGAGACUGCGGCAACACUUGGUGGUGGAAAAGGUAAGAUGUGUUGUAACUUUUUUAUUUUUUAUGUUGGUGGCGGGGAAAGAAGAUAAGAUUGUAUUUGUUGGUUUUAGGAUUAUACUUUUAAUAUUCUACUAGUAACUCUUCUUUUUGGCUCUCGUUUUUGUGUCAAAAGAAAGUAACUUAAUAGAGAUCACGAAAGUUAGCUCAGAAGCUACUCAUUUCCCUGCCAAAGUUGGUGGAAAAUUUGCCGAUGGGUCUAGACCUUAUCCUCAACUCAAGACUUCUGGUAUUUUGCUUUCGUCAUCAUGUGAUCUGAUGUUUGUUUUUUUUUUUUUUUUGCUUUCUUCAUGACUUAAGUUGAAAUUUUUUUGAAAGUAAAGCAAUGGGUGAUUUUAAGUCAUGUCCUCAAAGUUUAACAUAACAAUGUUAAUAUUAAUUAAACAAUGGUAAAAAUGUAAGCCAGUAAUUUCAAUGUUUUUCUUUUAAUGAUCUUGACAAAUCUUAAAAGAGUAGCACAUGUGUACAUCUUACUCACAGACUUCUUCCCUUUCUCAAGACGCUGAAUUUGAUGUCUUAAUGGAUACAGUAUAGCAUAAAACAGAGGAGUUCUCUUUUUAUAAUUUAGAUUCUUUCCUCUGUGUGAAUACUUACAGCUGAAGAGUCCGGAAAGUUCACAAAAAAUUAAAAUUAAAUUAACCUUAAUGUAUUUAAGUUCAUGCUGCAUACUAUUAUUGUUUUCUGAUGUUAACACCCACACCAACACACACCCACCCACACACACUUGGAAAUUUUAGAAAUUUUGGUUAAAUUUGUAUCUAAGUUCAAUGAGCUCAUUGUCGAAAUGGAUAGCCGGCAAUACUUCUGUUGUUCCCUAUUUAUUUAUUUUCGAAUUGGAUUUCUGGAUUCGCUAUUGCAUCUGUUGUUCCCUAAAUUCUUUCAGUUCAAUGUCUAAAUUGAUUGAUCAAGGAAGCAAAAUCUCUUGAGAUAGAGCACUAGCUUCAGUACUCUAUACUUCUGUUCUUAUAUGGUGUAGAUUCUCUACUUUUUGGUAUACCUUUAGUAUAUGGGAGAUUUUCACGUUACUAAAAUUACUUACCUUCUCAAAAUAUAUUAUUAUAUGGACUUCUUUGUUUAUCAGGUUAUGAGGAUCUGGUUCAGCUGAGAGAGAAUGAAAACUCAGAAAGGAAUGAGACUGCAGCUAUACUUGGUGGUGGAAAAGGUAAGACGUGUUGUAACUUUUUUAUUUUUAUGUUGGUGGCGGGAAAGAAGAUAAGAUUGUGCUUGGUGAUUUUUGGAGCAUACUUUUAAUAUUCAGAUCACAUGAUGACCAAAGCAAAAUACCAGAAGUCUUGAGUGGAGGAUAAGGUCCAGAUCCAUCGGCAAAUUUUCCACCAACUUUGGCAGGGAAAUGAGUAGCUUUUGAGCUAACUUUCUUGAUCUUUAUUAAGGUACUUUCUUUUGACACAAAAACAAGAGCCAAAAAGAAAAGUUACUAAUAGAAUAUUAUUAUUAUUUUUAUUUUAUUUUUUCUAUUUCAAAAAAAAUAUUCUAUUAGUAACUUUUCUUUUUGGCUCUCGUUUUUGUGUCAAAAGAAAGUACCUUAAUAAAGAUCAAGAAAGUUAGCUCAAAAGCUACUCAUUUCCCUGCCAAAGUUGGUGGAAAAUUUGCCGAUGGAUCUGGACCUUAUCCUCCACUCAAGACUUCUGGUAUUUUGCUUUGGCCAUCAUGUGAUCUGAUGUUUGUUCUUUUUUUCUUUUUUUUUGCUUUCUUCAUGACUUAAGUUGAAAUUCUUUUGAAAGUAAAGCAAUGGGGGAUUUUAAGUCACAUCCUCAAAGUUUAACAUAACAAUGUUAAUAUUAAUUAAACAAUGGUAAAAAUGUAAGCCAGUAGUAUAAAACGUUUUUCUUUUAAUUAUCUUGACAAAUCUUAAACGAGUAGCACUUUUGUACAUCUUAAUCACAAACUUCUUCCCUUUUCUCAAGACGCUGAAUUUGAUGUCUUAACGGAUACACUCUAGCAUAAAACAGAGGAGUUCUCUUUUUAUAAUUCAGAUUCUUUCCUCUGGGUGAAUAAUUGCAGCUGAAAGUCCGGAAAGCUGCUAAUGACCCACAAAAAAUUAAAAUUAAAAUAACCUUAAUCUAUUUAAGUUCAUUCUGCAUACUAUUGUUGUUUUCUGAUGUUAACACCCACACACAAACACUUAGAAAUUUUAGAAAAUUUGGUUAAAUUUGUAAAUCAAUGAGCUCACUGUCAAAAUGGAUAGGCGGCAAUACUUCUGUUGUUCCCUAAUUUUUUUUAAUUUUUUUUGUGUAUUCAAUUUCUGGAUUCUCUCUUGCAUCUGUUGCUCCCUAAAUUCUUUCAAUUCAAUGUCUAAAUUGAUUGAUCAAGGCAGAAAAAUCUCUUGAGAUAGAGUAAUUAGCUUCAGUACUCUGUACUUCUGUUCUUAUAUGGUGUAGAUUCUCUACUUUUUGCUAUACCUCUUGUAUAUGGGAGAUUUUCACGUUACUAAAAUUAUUUACCUCAUCAAAUAUAUUAUUAUAUGUACUUCUUUGUUUAUCAGGUUAUGAGGAUCUGGUUCAGCUGAGAGAGAAAGAAAACUCAGAAAGGAAUGAGACUGCAGCUACACUUGCUGGUGGAAAAGGUAAGACUUGUUGUAACUUUUUUAUUUUUGAUGUUGGUGGCGGGGAAAGAAGGUAAGAUUGUAUUUGUUGGUUUUAGGAUUAUAAUUUUAAUAUUCUAUUAGUAACUUUUCUUUUUGGCUCUCGUUUUUGUGUCAAAAGAAAGUAACUUAAUAAAGAUCAAGAAAGUUAGCGCAGAAGCUACUCAUUUCCCUGCCAAAGUUGGUGGAAAUUUGCCGAUGGAUCUGGACCUUAUCCUCCACUCAAGACUUCUGGUAAUUUGCUUUGGUCAUCAUGUGAUCUGAUGUUUGUUCUUUUUUUCUUUUUCUUUUUUUUGCUUUCUUCAUGACUUAAGUUGAAAUUCUUUUGAAAGUAAAGCAAAGGAGGAUUUUAAGUCACGUCCUCAAAGUUUAACAUAACAAUGUUAAUAUUGAUUAAACAAUGGUAAAAAUGUAAGCCAGUAGUUUAAAACGUUUUUCGUUUAAUGAUCUUGACAAAUCUUAAAAGAGUAGCACUUAUGUACAUCUUACUCACAGGCUUCUUCCCUUUUCUCAAGACGCUGAAUUUGAUGUCUUACUGGAUACAUUCUGGCAUAAAACAGAGGUGUUCUCUGUUUAUAAUUCAGAUUCUUUCCUCUGUGUGAAUACUUGCAGCUGAAGAGUCCGGAAAGCUGCUAUUGACCCACAAAAUAUUAAAAUUAAAAUAACCUUAAUGUAUUUAAGUUCAUGCUGCAUAUUAUUAUUGUUUUCUGAUGUUAACACCCACACCAACACACACACACACUUAGAAAUUUUAGAAAAUUUGGUUAAAUUUGUAUUCAAGUCCAAUGAGCUUACUGUCGAAAUAGAUAGGUGCCAAUACUUCUGUUGUUCCCUUUUUUUUUUUUUCUAAUUCGAUUUCUGGAUUUGCUCUUGCAUCUGUUGUUCCCUAGUUUUUUUCAGUUCAAUGUCUAAAUUGCUUGAUCAAGGCAGCAAAAUCUCUUGAGAUAGAGUAAUUAGCUUCAGUACUCUAUAGUUUUGUUCUUAUAUGGCGUAGAUUCUCUACUCUUUUGUAUACCUCUUGUAUAUGGGAGAUUUUCACUUUACUAAAAUCAUUUACCUUAUCAAAAUAUAUUAUUAUAUGUACUUCUUUGUUUAUCAGGUCAUGAGGAUCUGGUUCAGCUGAGAGAGAAAGAAAACUCGGAAAGGAAUGAGACUGCAGCUACACUUGGUGGUGGAAAAGGUAAGACUUGUUGUAACUUUUUUAUUUUUGAUAUUGGUGGCGGGGAAAGAAGAUAAGAUUGUAUUUCUUUGUUUUAGGAUUAUACUUCUAAUAUUCUAUCAGUAACUUUUCUUUUUGGCUCUUGUUUUUGUGUCAAAAGAAAGUAACUUAACAAAGAUCAAGAAAGUUAGCGCAGAAGCUACUCAUUUCCCUGCCAAAGUUGGUGGAAAAUUUGCCGAUGGAUCUGGACCUUAUCCUCCACUCAAGACUUCUGGUAUUUUAGGAAAAAGAAGCAAUGAUAGUAGUGUUAUUACAAAGGCUGGAUCUGAAGUUCCUGCUACACAUACAUCUUACUCACAGGCUUCUUCCCUUUUCUCAAGACGCUGAAUUUGAUGCCUUAAUGGAUACACUCUGGCAUAAAACAGAGGUGUUCUCUGUUUAUAAUUCAGAUUCUUUCCUCUGUGUGAAUACUUGCAGCUGAAGAGUCCGGAAAGCUGCUAUUGACCCACAAAAUAUUAAAAUUAAAAUAACCUUAAUGUAUUUAAGUUCAUGCUGCAUAUUAUUAUUGUUUUCUGAUGUUAACACCCACACCAACACACACACACACUUAGAAAUUUUAGAAAAUUUGGUUAAAUUUGUAUUUAAGUUCAAUGAGCUCACUGUCGAAAUGGAUAAGUGCCAAUACUUCUGUUGUUCCCUUUCUUCUUUUUUUUCUAAUUUGAUUUCUGGAUUUGCUCUUGCAUCUGUUGUUCCCUAAAUUUUUUCAAUUCAAUGUCUAAAUUGCUUGAUCAAUGCAGCAAAAUCUCUUGAGAUAGAGUAAUUAUCUUCAGUACUCUAUAGUUUUAUUCUUAUAUGGUGUAGAUUCUCUACUUUUUUGUAUACCUCUUGUAUAUGGGAGAUUUUCACUUUACUAAAAUCAUUUACCUUAUCAAAAUAUAUUAUUAUAUGUACUUCUUUGUUUAUCAGGUAAUGAGGAUCUGGUUCAGCUGAGAGAGAAUGAAAACUCAGAAAGGAAUGAGACUGCAGCUACACUUGGUGGUGGAAAAGGUAAGACUUGUUGUAACUUUUUAUUUUGAUAUUGGUGGCGGGGAAAGAAGAUAAGAUUGUAUUUCUUUGUUUUAGGAUUAUACUUCUAAUAUUCUAUUAGUAACUUUUCUUUUUGGCUCUUGUUUUUGUGUCAAAAGAAAGUAACUUAAUAAAGAUCAAGAAAGUUAGCGCAGAAGCUACUCAUUUCCCUGCCAAAGUUGGUGGAAAAUUUGCUGAUGGAUCUGGACCUUAUCCUCCACUCAAGACUUCUGGUAUUUUAGGAAAAAGAAGCAAUGAUAGUAGUGUUAUUACAAAGGCUGGAUCUGAAGUUCCUGCUACAAGGGACAACAAAUUAGCUUCUGUUAAACAUGUCAAAGCUUGGCUCGCUUCUUGUGAUGAGCUGAAUGAAGAAAAAAAUGGCUCACCUUCAUUAUCUAAUUUACCGAGAAUGGAUCCAAGACCUCUCCAAAGGCCCAAGUUCAAGAAUCCUUACCAUGAAAGUCAAAAUUCCUUGGCUUCUCCAGGAGAGGAGGAGAAAAGCAUGGAUAAGGGCCACGAGUCUAAAAGAAUGAGAUCGCCAGCUUUUGAAGAAAAAGCAUCGACCAGGUCUGAUGAUAAUUCAUCACGGCGAUAUGAAGACAUUGAUGACUUCUUGGCUGAUAAAUGGAUACUGCAGAAGUUGGGACAAAAUGCAAAAGGAAAGAGAGUGGAAUUUCAUCAUCUGUUUGAUAAUACCUGGUAAGUUUAUUGUUACGUCAAGCUGACUACUAUACAUACUUAAAAUUUAUGCAACUUAAAUGAAAAUGAGUGCUGUGAUAUUCUGGAUUUGUAAUCAUGAUAGCAAUGAGUAAAGGGCAAUCAAUAGAGCUAGUGAAUUGCAUUGGGACUUAAGGAUAUAGUAGGAUAAAUAAAAGGAACAGUCUGUCUAUAGUAAGAAGUUUAAUUUGGGUGUUUAACUAGCGUGGCUUCCUUGCUGGUUCUUAAAUAUGAAAUUGUGUAGAAGAGCAUUCAUAUAAAUCUGUACCACACUCUCCUUGAGAUGUGCUAGUUUGACCUUUCAAUUUGUUUUCUUUUUCAGGCAUAGAGGGACUGUCGUAGAAGUCUUUGAAGGCUCAUCUGUUGUGUCUGUUGCUCUUGAUGAUGGGAACAUGAAGAAGUUGGAACUUGGAAAGCAAGGAAUUCGUUUAAUAUCUUCGAAGCAAAACUGUUGACUGCUAUUAAAAUUGGUUAUUAGAUGCAGCGUAUGUUGCGACUUUUGAUGUCAAGGGCAUGAGCAACUGCUGAUUCCCAGAGUUGUUCCUCUUUGGUUGACUCAAAGGAAGUAACUGAUCGUUGCAGGUUAAAAUUUCAAGGUUACUGCACCCUGCAUUGUGUGUUUGCUGCUUGUUAUCUAACCAUUGGUUACCAGAUUUACAUGUAAGGCGUUGGUUUGAUUCUGUUUUAUUGUCACCUUUUGUUUUCCAGUUUAUAGAUUCUCCUUUUGAGCCUUUUGGUGGCACUUUAAAUUAAUCUUGUUGAGUUUGCAGUUUUAAUGUAAAAUUUCUAGAGAUUACAAAGUUCUGCUCUUACUGGUAUUAACUCAGAAUAGAUGUCGUUGUUAUACUAUAAUAUAUAUAUUAUAGCCAGCUGAGCUCUUUUCAAUAUGAAUGGACUGAAAUCACCAUGAUACUACGAUAAAUUCCAUUAGAUAUAAUC
rnacentral:lncRNA from 1 species